GAUUACUUCGUCAACCAGAUAUCAAACAAGGCUUCUGGUUUUGCCAGACUCUACUACUACCCUCCAUGUCCGAGGCCUGACCUAGUUUUGGGCCUCAGGCCUCACUCUGAUGGAAAUCUUCUUACUAUCCUUUUUGUCGACGACGAUGUUGGUGGCUUCACUCAUACAUACUAGUUGCCCUGAUUAUCCUAUCAUUCAGUAUGCAGAUGAUACUAUUUUAGUGGCGAACGCUGAUCAUAGACAGGUGCAGCAUAUCAAAAAUCUCCUGUCACAUUAUGCUCAUUACACAGGACUCAAAGUGAACUACGCAAAGUCUACAAUGAUCUCUAUUAACACUCCUCCUGAGAAGAUGAUUGAACUUUCUAGCAUUUUAGGAUGCAAGAUUGGUACUCUACCACUCAAUUAUCUGGGGCUCCCACUGUGUCUAUCUAUGCCUAAAGUUGAGGAUUUUGUUCCACUGCUCCAAAGGAUUGAGACAAGGCUACUUAGCUGUUCUACCAUGCUGUCCACUGGGGACAAAGUCACCCUCAUUAAAUCCAUCUUCACAAGUAUGCCCAAUUUUUUCAUGAGCACUCUGAUGAUACCCAAAACUGUUGUCAAACAAAUCAACACCUAUCUCAUGAAUUGCUUUUGGAGAAAAUAUGGUACCUUGGAUAGAGGCACUGUGCUCAUUGCCUGGGAUAAAGUUAACAGACCAAAAAACCAGGGUGGACUUGGGGUUCUAGAUCUCCACAUACAUAACAAGGCUCUGCUCCUGAAUUUUUUGCAUAAGUUCUUUAACAAAGCGUACACACCUUGGGUACAUAUCAUAUGGGAGAAACAUUAUCAGAAUAGGCUACCAGGGGAGCAGAAAGUUGGAUCUUUCUGGUGGAGAGAUGUACUGAAACUACUCCCACUGUUUAAGCAGCAUGCAAUCUGUAAAGCAGGUAUUGGAGAUUCAGUGAUCCUGUGGACAGAUCGAUGGCAAGAUGUUUCACUCUUCAAUAAAUUCCCAGAACUCCAUUCAUAUGCUACCAAUCAGACUAUCUCCUUGAAUAAUGCCCUUCAGCAUACAUACACCAGCCAACUCUUUCACAUGCCACUUUCACAACUAGCUUUUGAGAAAUUCACAUCAUUGCAAACGAUACUGACUGAGCAAGCUUCUGCUACCCAAAAUGAUAAAUGGUCAUACGCAUGGGCAUCACCCAAUUACUCAGCCAUGAAAAUGUACAAAGCUAUCAGAGAGGAGAACAUCGUACAUGUCAUUUUCAGAACUUUGUGGAAGUCAUCAUGCAGGCUACGACAUAAAAUCUUUUUCUGGCUGUUGCUGUGGGAUCAUCUGAGUACCAGAAACUAGGAGAUCCUUGCAUCUAGAUGACUAUAAUUGUGCCCUAUGUACAGAUGCCACAGAGGAAACAACUGUUCACCUGUUUUGGGACUGUCAAUUUGCUUUAACAUGUUGGCACUCCAUUAUUCCAACCAAGUCCAGAGGAAUAUCGAUAUAUGAUGAGAUUCAUCUUGCCAUGAGGCACCUUCAAUCAGACAUUGCUAUGGACAUCAUUAUUCAAGGAUGCUGGGCCAUCUGGAUGAGUAGAAAUGACAAAAUAUUCAGGAGAGCCGCCCCAUUAGUGGAGACUUGGAAGCAUUACUUGAAAGAAGGACUACAAGCUUUAGAACUCAGAGCUAAAUCAUCAAAGUCAGGAAAGAUCAGACUCUGGAUACAACAGUACUUGUAACUUAAUUAUGGGUUUUCCUAGAACUGGUAUUGGUUGAUUUGUACUUUCCUUGUAAUGGUACUUUUUAAUUAAUGAAAAUUUACCGUAGAACAUUGUUCUACGGUUUCGGCUAAAAAAAACGAUGUUGGUGGCUUGCAAGUUCAGAGAGAUGUUAAAUGGUACAAUGUUCCAGCCAAGCCUCACACACUGGUGAUCAACUUGGGAGACUGCCUGGAGGUUGGUACCUACACAUACAAGCUAGAUACGCACUUCCUCUCUUGAAUGGUCUAUAAUGAUCAGUGUUAUAUCCUAUUUCCUGAAUCCUAAUGUUUCAUUGACUCUUUUGUGAAAUUUUGGCGCAGAUAAUGAACAACGGAAUCUUUAGGAGCCCGGUUCACAGAGUGGUGACGAACACCGAGAAGGAGAGGCUUUUGCUUGCCAUGUUCUAUGCCGUGGAUGAAGAAAUAGUGCUGGAGCCAGCGCCCGGUUUGCUGGAUGACGAGCGACCUGCAAGAUAUAGGAAAAUGAUGACAAAGGAUUUCAUGGCUGGGCUCUUUGAACAUUUCCGUUAAGGGAAGAGAUUCAUCGACAGCCUGAAGAUAUAAAUUAUGCGUGUUGGUUUAUGGAGUUGUUGCUGUGAUUACCUAUAUGAAAUAAAGAGAUGGCCAUAUCCUCUGUGAGUGGGGGUUUUAUCGAUCAUUGUCAUAAGCAACUCAGUUUCGGUUUAUUUUUAAUUGUUUCCAACAGACGCAAAACUUUGCUCAUCUCACUAAUUAAGAAGAACGGUGUGCCAGUUACUUAGUGGAAACACAGCCACGUUGCACAUAAGUGUGUGGUCACUUCUCUUCGAGCAAGCUACUUCAACUUCACCGCAAAAGAUCACAGAUAAGACUCUCGCUGCAACAGCUGCGUGAUAUCACAUUAAGACGUGCCAAGCUAUCAGGCACAUACACUAUAUCGGCACACGGCAACUCCAAUUUUCAAGAAGGCAACAAUGAAAAAAAUUAUAAGCUCAAUGUUUUAAGGGCACUUCUAGGUGUCGGUCGACCGAUCCAACCACGUCGCCUCCCCCGCGGCACGAUGACUCCAGCAUGGGCCAUUGGAUGCCCCACCCUCGUCAUCCUUCCUACCACGCACGCCUGAGACAAAAAAAUUAUUUUCUCAAAUUUGACUUGUCAGUCACUUCCUUGAAUUUGAUCAAUGAUCCAGUUUUUGUGCAUACUUUCUUGUCAAUUUGCAGCUCAGCCUGGCCACUGACCAUUAGUGCUAUUGUUGAUCGUGUGAUAAAAGAGAAUUAUUGGUAGUACUCUACUCAGUCUCUCCGGAGGACGACACAAUUGAAAAUGUAUGGGUAUCAGCUCAGUCACAAUCUUUUUUUUUGUCGAAAUAGAGGCAUAAGCUUUGCAUCAUCCAUUAAUUAAGGGAAAAAUAGAGUUAAGGUUACAAACUGACACAAAGGCAUCAAAUGAAAAUAAAAAAAAGGCCACUACCCUCCCGACAUCAGUUGACCCACACGCUUAGCACUCGCGGUGAUCCAAAGCCUUGCUUCUUUUUUAAUCUCCUCCAUAAGAAUUGUCAUAGGGGCGGAUUUGUGUCGGAAGACCCUUGCAUUCAUCUUGUUCCAAAUAGUCCAACACAUAAGCAUGAUGAUAGAAGCCUUUGUUGGAACACACGGUACGCUAUGCUAGCACCAAAUAAAUUUUCUACCCCGCACCCAUGAUCAUGCUACUGGAAAUAGAUCACUAGAUCGGGUUUACCACUAGAUGCGCAUUCAGCGCAGCGGAAGUAGAGUUGGUGAUGUGUGUAGUCGUUCGGCCGAUCUCCAACAAACAGAUGUCCCGCGAACAACGAUCUCCUGGAUCCCUCGAACAACUCCUUGUGGUUCCCUCGAACGGUACGUCCAAGCACUACAUGUAGUGGUGGGCGCACAACAGAUGCCACGGGGUGGCUAAAGAGAGGGAUAGGCAAGAGGCAACCGGUGGGCUCCAGAGGCGAGGUUGGUACGAGCGAGCGGGAGACGCAAGACGUACCCAGGUUCGGGUCUCUCCGUAGAGAUAACACCCCUAGUCCUGCCGAGUGUGUUUUAUAUGAAGAUGGUACAAGCUUGCUCCUAGAGUUGUUUUGUGGAGGAAGGACGACAGGCCAGUGCAUAGGAUGUUCCCUCUCCGUGUGGUGGAUGUAAGUGUGUGUGUGUGUGUGUGUGUGUGUGUGUGGCUAAUGGAAUCGACCCUCUGCAUGGAAGAGCACCGGGGGGUCUUAUAGGCUGCCCCCCCCCCCCGGGUUAUAUCUUUUGAGCUUGAUAGUUUUUGCUCUAGUGCUUCACUUAUAUCUUUUAGAGCAUGACGGUGGUGUCUUAAUUUUGAAGAAAUUGCUAGUCUCUCAUGCUUCACUUAUAUUAUCUUGAGAGUCUUUUAGAACAGCAUGGUAUUUGCUAUUGUCAUAAAGUUGGUCCUAGAAUGAUGAGCAUCCAAGUUAGGUAUAAUUAAAACUAUCAUAGGAAGUGAAUUGGAUGCUAUGAUCAACUUGAUACUUGAUAAUUAUUUUGAGAUAUGGAGGUAGUUGAAUUUAAAGAAUGCUUGUGUUGAAGUUUGUGAUUCCCGUAGCAUGCACGUAUGGUGAACCGCUUUGUGAUGAAGUUGGAGCACAAUUUUAUUUAUUGGUUGUCUUCCUUAUGAGUGGCGGUCGGGGACGAGCGAUGGUCUUUUCCUACCAAUCUAUCGCCCUAGGAGCAUGCGCGUAGUGCUUUGGUUUUUGAUGACUUCUAAAUUUUUGCAAUAAGUACAUGAGUUCUCUUGAUUAAUGUUGAGUCCAUGGAUUAUACGCACCCUUUCACCCUUCCACCAUUGCUAGCCUCUCUUGUGCCGCGCAAUUUUCGCUGGUACCAUACACCCACCAUAUCCUUCCUCAAAACAGCCACCGUACCUACCUAUUAUGGCAUUUCCAUAGCCAUUCCGAGAUAUAUUGCCAUGCAACUUUUCACCGUUCCGUUCAUAUGACACACAUUACUUUUGUCAUAUUGCUCUUUGCAUGAUCAUGUAGUUGACAUCGUAUUUGUGGCAAGGCCACCUUCAUAAUUUUCAUACAUGUCGCUCUUGAUUCAUUGCAUAUCCCGGUACACCGCCGGAGGCAUUCAUAUAGAGUCAUAUCUUGUUCUAGCUUUGAGUUAUAAAUCCAUAAAAGUGUGAUGAUCUUCAUUAUUAGAGCAUUGUCCUCGUGAGGAAAGGAUGAUGAAGGCUAUGAUUCCCCCACAAGUCGGGAUGAGACUUUGGACUUUAUAAAAAAAAGAAAAAAAAGAAAGAAAAAAAGGGCAAAAAAAAGAAGAAGAAAGGCCAAAGAAAAAAAUAGGAAAAAAAUAUAAUGAGAGAAAAAGAGAGAAGGGAUAAUGCUACUAUCUCUUUUUCCACACUUGUGCUUCAAAAUAGCACCAUGAUCUUCAUGAUAGAGAGUCUCAUAUGUUGUCACUUUCAUAUACUAGUGAGAAUUUUUCAUUAUAGAACUUGGCUUGUAUAUUCCAAUGAUGGGCUUUCUCAAAAGUGCCCUAGGUCUUCGUGAGCAAACGAGUUGGAUGCACACCCACUUAGUUUCUUUUAUUGAGCUUUCAUAUAUUUAUAGCUCUAGUGCAUCCGUUGCAUGGCAAUCCCUACUCACUCACAUUGAUAUCUAUUAAUGGGCAUCUCCAUAGUCCGUUGAUACGCCUAGUUGAUGUGAGACUAUCUUUUCCUUUUUUGUCUUCUCCACAACCACCAUUCUAUUCCACAUAUAGUGCUAUGUCCAUGGCUCACGCUCAUGUAUUGCGUGAAAAUUGAAAAAGUUUGAGAUUAUUAAAGUAUGAAACAAUUGCUUGGCUUGUCAUCGGGGUUGUGCACAAUUAAAUACUUUGUGGGAUGAAGAUAGAGCAACAGCCAGACUAUUUGAUUUUGUAGGGAUAACUUUCUUUAGCCAUGUUAUUUUGAGAAGACAUGAUUACUUUGAUUAGUAUGCUUGAAGUAUUACUAUUUCUUAUGUCAAUAUUAACUUUUAUUUUGUAUUCAUUUGGAUUUGAACAUUCAUGCCACAAUGAAGAAAAUUACAUUAUGAAUUAUGCUAGGUAGCAUUCCACAUCAAAAAUUCUUUUUUAUCAUUUACCUACUCGAGGACGAGCAGGAAUUAAGCUUGGGGAUGCUUGAUAUGUCUCCAACGUAUCUAUAAUUUUUAAUUGUUUCAUGCUAUUAUAUUACCCCUUUUGGAUGUUUAUGGGCUUUAUUUUACACAUUUAUAUCAUUUUUAGGACUAACGUACUAACCGGAGGCCCAGCCCGUAUUGCUAUUUUUUUUUGCCUAUUUCAGUAUUUCGAAGAAAAGGAAUAUCAAACGGAGUCCAAACGGAAUGAAACCUUCGGGAGCGUGAUUUUUCGAACAAAUUUGAUCCGGAAAGCUUGGAGUGCAAGUCAAGAAGCAGCCAAGGCUCCCACGAGAUAGGAGGGUGCGCCCCCCUGUAGGGCGUGCCCUCCUGUCUCAUGGGCCCCUCGGGCGGCCACCGACGUACUUCUUCCUCCUAUAUAUACCUACGGACCCCGAAAACAUCCAUGAGCACCACGAAACACAAUUUCCACCGCCAUAACCUUUUGUAUUCGCGAGAUCCCAUCUUGGAGCCUUCUUCGGCACUCUGCCGGAGGGGGAAUCGACCAUGGAGGGCUUCUACAUCAACACCAUAGCCCCUUCGAUGAGUUGUGAGUAGUUUGCCACAAACCUACGGGUCCAUAAUUAUUAGCUAGAUGGCUUCUUCUCUCUUUUUGGAUCUCAAUACAAUGUUCUCCCCCUCUCUUGUGGAGAUCUAUUCGAUGUAAUCUCUUUUUGCGGUGUGUUUGUCGAGAUCCGAUGAAUUGCGGGUUUAUGAUCAAGUUUAUCUAUGAAUAAUAUUUGAAUCUUCUCUGAAUUCUUUUAUGUACGAUUGAGUUAUCUUUUCCAGUCUCUUCGAAUUAUCAGUUUGGUUUGGCCUACUAGAUUGAUCUUUCUUGCCAUGGGAGAAGUGUUUAGCUUUGGGUUCAAUCUUGCGGUGUUCUUACCCAAUGACAGAAAGUGUUGCAAGACACGUAUUGUAUUGUUGCCAUCGAGGAUAACAAGAUGGGGUUUAUAUCAUAUUGCAUGUGUUAUCCCUCUACAUCAUGUCAUCUUGCUUAAAGCGUUACUCUGUUCUUAUGAACUUAAUACUCUAGAUGCAGGCAACAGUCAGUCGAUGUGUGGAGUAAUAGUAGUAGAUGCAGGCAGGAGUCGGUCUACCUGUUAUGGACGUGAUGCCUAUAUAGAUGAUCAUGCCUAGAUAAUCUCAUAACUAUGCGCUUUUCUAUCAAUUGCUCGACAGUAAUUUGUUCACCCACCGUAAUACUUAUGCUAUCUCGAGAGAAGCCUCUAGUGAAACCUAUGGCCCCCGGGUCUAUCUCUUAUCGUAUUCGCUUUCAAUCUAUCUUUAUUUGCAUCUUUAAUUUUUGCAUCUAUAUCACAAAAUACCAAAAAUAUAUUAUUAUCUCUCUAUCAGAUCUCACUUUCGCAAGAGGCCGUGAAGGGAUUGACAACCCCUUCAUUACGUAGGUUGCGAGUUCCCAGUUUGUUUGUGUAGGUGCGUGGGACUUUUGAGGAGCCUCCUACUGGAUUGAUACCUUGGUUCUCAAAACUGAGAGAAAUACUUACGCUACACUUUGCUGUAUCACCCUCUCCUCUUCGAGGAAAACCAAUACAAACUCAAGACGUAGCAGUGGCCCGUAACAAAACAGUAAAAAGCCAACGCCCAAAAGAAAAAAAAACGGCAAUGCUCAUGCUAGUAUGAUUUUCUUCUUCCGAUGAGGGUUGCACUGGAAUUAGUUAUACCCCCCGCAAAAAAAGUCAGAACCGGGACCCAUUUCUUGAUCACUUUAGCUACUUUUCAGUUGCUUGAAAUUUUAUUUUAGGGUCAGUCCUUUUUUUCCACUGUCUUAUGCACUUGAUGAUCACUGCAACCGGCAUGCAACCGACGCACGCAAGCUUUCUUAAUUAGCAUGAGUACUAAUAGGCGGACCAAAAAUACUAAUCGGCAUGUUUCUUGGCUAGUGCCAGUUUAAAUUUAAAGAGAAAUUUUAUGGUGCCUUUGCUAUUUGAUAGUCGUCUAAAGAAAACAGGUUCAUGCUAAUAUUUUCUUUUUAUGUGUUUUUUCCUCUCUUUUGUCUUGAGUCGUUUUUUAUGCACUUUAGUUGUUGCCUGAAUUUUAAAUUUGGGUCAAUUGAUUUCUUUUGGCCUUUGAUUUUUGCUUUAUGAUUUGUGCUGUAUUUUCUUUUUUGCCUGUGCUACUUGUUGUAUUGGGCUUGUUUGUUUCGACUGAAACAUAUUUGGGUCAGUCGAUUGCCACUGGACCGAAGCCCGUUAAGAGUGCGAUCUAGCCUUCAUCUCUCUCCCUUUGUUUGUAUCUUUUGUGGGCAUUUUGCUUCAUUCUUUUAUUUCAGUUUUCUGCCUCUAUGCGUUUUUUCUCUCGUUCCUUUAUUAGUUAAUUUUUCUUAUUUUGUGGAUUGUUGGCCCUCCCCUCUACCCCUUUUUUAUUUUUUGUUAUUUUUUUUGCUUUGGUUUAUAUUUUUCUUUAUGGUCAGUUUGUUUUUCUUUUGUGGAAUUUUUGGAUAUUGGAUCAAUGUAAAUGUAUAAGCACAAAUACUAUAAGGUACAUGGAAAGAUUGCGCUAUUAUAUAAUUAUUAUUCUUUGCAUACUGUAAAAUGUGCAAUUUCAGUGCAAAGUGGCGUGCAAGUUUUUUUUCUUUCUUUUGAAAGGGUAAUACCAAUGUCAACAAUUCAUUUUAUAUAAACCUCAUUAUUUUGAUCUUUUCGUUAUUGUUUUAUUCUUCUUUAAGUUAAUAACAAUGCCACUAAUUCAUUUCUCCUUAGGAAACUUUUUUGUGAAAGUUUCACUAUUGUAUGCAUAUUGGAAAAAACGCAAUUUGUGUGUAUAUUUUGUGCAAAAUUUCUUAUUUUAGAUUUAUUUCUAUGUGUGUAAGUAUAAAUGCAAGUACUAAAUAAUAUGUGUGUAAAUUAUAGUAUAAUGUGAAAAAUGCACUAUUAUAUGCGUAUUCUUUGCAUAUUUCAAAAAAAUGCAAUUUCAGUGCAAGUUUUGAAAUGUUUUUCUUUUUUAUUUGUUUCUAAAGGAUUUCAUUUUUUAGAAAACGUCAUUAUUUUGAUUUUGUUUUAUUUUUUAUUUUGUUUGUUCUGAAAGGGUAAUACCAAUGCCAUGAAUUCAUUCUUCCGUAGAGAACUUUAUUUUUUUGAUAUUGCUUUAGUUUUUGUCUCAUUGUUUGAUUUUGUUUUAGUUUUCUUUUCUUUUGUAAGGAUAACACCGGUGUCACUAAUCCAUUACUUUUUAGAAAACACUUUUUUUGUGAAAAUCACACUAAUAUAUGCUCAUUUUUCUAUAAUUUCACUAUUAUAUUUUUCUAUAAUUUCACUAUUAUAUGCUCAUUUUUCUAUAAUUUCACUAUUAUAUUUUUCUAUAAUUUCACUAUUAUAUGCUCAUUUUUCUAAAUUUCACUAUAUUAUAACAGCAUACUAUAUCACCAAGCACACCUAUGUGGCUAUGUAUGGGCUCGUACUAUACUGUUACAUAUGGAGCUGCCUUGCAUGUAUGCAUGGGCUUGUAGGCAUCAAUUAAGUGGAUGUACUAAAUUGAUACGACAACAUCAUGGAGGGGAGUCGUCCUCGCAUGCAUUAGCUCUGACUGUGGCGUUAUUACUUGCUCCUAAUAGUCACGGCCUGAAGAAAUCGCAAAGAGACAAAAAGUGACUGUCCCAAAUAUGAUAUUCAGUCGUAUUGACAUGUAGUCAAUCCCUUACUUGAUCAAUUUCUCAUCACACACAACAAAAGAGUCUAUUCAGGGGGAGCACAAGGUCGUUGGGCACAACAGAGGUAACCAAUGGUGUUCAGUCACACAAGAUAGAACAAAUCAUCCCUAGGUCGUCAUAGAUAGAACAAAUCAUCACUAGUUUGUUAUGGCGAUCCGACAACCUGGUUCCCAUGAGAGCAACAUGAUACCUGCACCGUCAUGUUGAUGCUUCGGGCAGCGGGGGCAUCAUGAUGACGGCCAACAGGGCAAGGUACAUCUCAACCAGUGGCGGAGCUAGCCGAAGAUCACUUGGGGAAAAAACAAAAAUCUUCAGUGUUUGGGGAGGGGGGCAAAUGCUAAAACAAAGUCUAAUCUAAGCCUCCCUAAAUAUUUUUNNNNNNNNNNNNNNNNNNNNNNNNNNNNNNNNNNNNNNNNNNNNNNNNNNNNNNNNNNNNNNNNNNNNNNNNNNNNNNNNNNNNNNNNNNNNNNNNNNNNNNNNNNNNNNNNNNNNNNNNCCAACAUAGCUUCGUUAUUGAUCCCGACUACAGCUGCUUUUCCAUUCAACUCUUCGGCCUUGUUUUUGGCAAAUCGCUUGAUCUUGUCCUUCGUCGGUUGCGGCAGAGGCGAGCUGGCCGUGCCGGACGUAGGACGCGGGGGCACAGUAGAGGCGCCGGCCACUGCUUGUGGUGGCGGUGACGGAUGGCCGCCGACUGGAGGCGAGACGGCAGAUCCGCCGAUGGCGAGCGAUGGUGGUGACGGGAGAUAACGGCCUCCUGCCGGAGAAACCAGAAUGCACAUGACCAAGACAAGACGAGCAACUUCACCGUGCGGCCAUGGCGGUCUUAGCGGGAGGGGAGGGGAGGUGAGUGGAAGGGGGAGAGUACGCCGGUGAGGACUAAAUGGGACGUGUACAGCUGCCCUUCCAUUGUCGGGGGGAGGGGCAAGGGGAAGCGAAGAUAUCCGUGUUUCCAUUUUAAGGCGGGAAAAUGAAUUAUGAGUGACCGGCAGGUUGCAGGCUUGUGGCAGCUGGGUGUUUUGUUUUCGGGAUUUUCACAUGUGUGCCCCUAGUUCCUUAGCCAUACUCAUCCAUCCCCACGUUCUUAACGUUUUCUCACUUUUCCCCACUCUCUUGUCCGAAACCCUCAGAAAUGGUCACAAACGGUGGAUGUCGUCAGGUCAAUGCUUUGACCGUUAACUAUAACAAGUGGGGCCGCGCUAGACUGUGUCGCCCGUUGGACCAGACAAGUGGGGCGGCCUUGGACGGUGGCACUGUUCGACCAUUGGGUCGUGGUUUCGUUGGACUGUUGGGCCGUUGCAUGAAACGCCUGUGUGCGCCACCACGACAGAAGCCUGCAAUGCAUGCACGGCGUAUCCAGCUAGCCUGCUAUGCAUGCAUGGAGCUAGCCUACCUGCAUGCGCCGAUGCGUGCCGACCGAGCCGCUUUCGUGCACGCCAGCUACCACGGACGCAAGGACGGUCGCUACCUGCAUGCGCUGAUGCUUGUCUCCUCGAUCCACUCGCAUCUGCACCCGUUUUUCUAUGACAAAUAAAUUGAACAAUAUUUUAUUAUUAUUUUUGGUUGCAUGUACUAGGUAGCUACAUAUCUUAAUUCUUUGUGGCUUCCUCGACGAGGUGGUGGCUUUUGUAGCUAUGCAUGCACUAGGUGCUUACGAACAAAGCGAGCUCUCUCAAAAAACAAUCAAUAAUUCAAAAAAAAGUACAAACUAGCAAGAACUUAAUAAUGGGAUAGAUAGAAAACUUAAUAACAUAACAUAGGCCAACAAGCCCAGAGCGCGAUCAUAUAGUUCAAUUACAACUUAAUAACAUAACAUAGAUUCAAAAAAAAAGAAAAAAAGAUAGAGGGUUCUAAACCCUAGACGUCGGCUUCUCCACCUCGCUCCUCCGGGUGCGCUCCACUGCUCCUUCGGGCUGUUGUCGGUGGGGUACGGCAGAGUGUGCAUGUGCGACGCGGUGGGGAAGAUGUUGCUGUACUCCGUGAGGAUGUUGUGGGUGGUGAAAGCAAUGAACUCGUAGCCACACCAAAACACGCGCCCGAGGAGGUAGAAGGCAUCGAAGGGGUUUGUGAAGUGGGCAUGGAUAGCAACCACCACCCUGUUUUGGAUGACCUCCUCGACGCGGAACAUCCUUGGAGAUCCACGUGGGAGGUGGCGGUAGCCGGCCGUGAGGAAGAACUCGGUGAAGCCCCUUGCAGUCCUCCACCUUGAUAUCGCCCACACACAUAGUGUACACUCAACGUACACGCCGACAGUAUAGAGCCUCUCCGACACAGUGGGUGGGAAGCGGUAGGUUGGUCCAGUGUACUGCAUGGCUGAGGGGUGUGAAGAAGAAGGAGAAGGGGUCGAAGAAGUUGGGGUCGAAGAACAAGAAGGGCAAAUGGCAGAGGAUGGGAGAUAGAUGAGGGAUGUGAGACGAAGAAGAAGAUGAUGUGUGGCUUAAAUAGCCGUAGUGCGACGUGUUAUUUCGUCAUGGCAGUAAUGGGGACAAAUGUGAACUAGCUCGUUUGCACACCCACCGCGGCAUCAGGAACUCAAUCUCCGUAGGUGCAAUCAAAACAAGGGUCAAGCAAAAAAAAAUAGAGCCAAUGCGACGACCCAACCAGAGCUUGUUUUCAUUAUGUGCCCAAUAACUACGGUUUUUUUGCAGGCUCAAUGGUGGGCGAGCACAACCAAUAGGAGAUUAUCUCAUGGAUCGCCCCACGAUCCAACAAUACGGAGUGGUCCAUCUGAUCCAACGGCGCGGAGCCUGCACGCAACCAGCCCUUCUAGAAGACCACAUCUAAGGGUUGUCGCUAGGGUUAGCCAAAACCCCGCAGGAUUUAGAGUUGUUUUGAGCUGGUCAACGGGGCUAUCUAGGCUUUGACUGAGUAUAACCAAUUUUUAACUAAUAGAAAAAAUUUGAAACCUUCCCCGUUCGUCGUUUUAUAAGACACACUAACAAGGAAAAACACCAAACUUGGUAUACGAAAACUAUCAAAAAAAACCUAGGUGGCACGAUCGAGGUCAAAUGAGCACCAUUAAUUUAAAAUAAAAAUAAAAAUAUAUAAAACAUGCGCACAAUAUUGUCUUAUGUGACAUGUUACCAACUAAAAAUCAUAAACUUGGUCUAUGGACAUUUUCAUGAAAAAACCUUCACACAUAUGAGCUAUCACGUACAACAUUGCAGAGAGUUCAAGGAGAGGAGGUAGGGUUCCCUUAGGUUUUUAAAAAUUAAAAAAAUUAAAAAAUUUACCCGAGCUUGAUUUCAAAGUGAAUAAGAAGGAUCUGAACUUAGUUUUCCAUUUUCAUAUUUUAAACAUGUUUUUAGUUGUUUCCUAUUAAAGCAUAUUUUUUCAAAAACAAAAUGUAAAAAUAUGAAGAUUAAUUCAAUAAAUAGUGAGACUUCGAAUCUACACUAUAUAGAUUGAAUAGGUGUUAAUAAAAAAUAUUUGGCUCAUUUGGAGUAGGUCCAAAAAAACUUGAUUACAAAUGGAGCUCAUUUGGAGCAUAUUUCUCAUGACUAUAAGUUUUACCACGCAAAAGAGAUUAGAUUGGUCACCUAACGUUUAUAAUAAUUCAGCAAACUUUUCAACAUCACACCACAUGCAAUGGACUUCAAGUGUUGGUUCAAAUUCAAAUUUUGCCUCAAAUUCAAAUUAGAAUAUUUGAUCUGUUAUUGGAAUAUUUGAUCUGUUAUUGAAAUACUUGAUCAAAUGAUGGACUAUCUUCACUCAAAUGUUGUUUUUUGCUCUGUUAUUGGAAUAUUUGAUCAAAUGAUGGGCUAUUUGCUCUUUUUGCUUAUUCUUUGCAGCAUGUCUGAUCAGUGAAGCAACAUUGAAGCAGUAUGUGUGAUCAUUGCAGCACCUAAACUUAUAGCUCACACCAUCUAAACAUAACAUACCAUACAGCACAGGCAAAUUUAAGGACAGACAAAUAUAGAUAGCAUAAUAAAUUAAUACCAUAGAUCACACACAAAGUUUAGAUAGCAUGACACAAAGUUUACCAAACAGCCACAUUCAGUUUACCAAAAGUAAAAUAUAAAACAUCAUCACAUCACACCGGAGUCAGGGCCUUUGCGAGGGCAGCAUGCUGCCCCCUGAUCUUGUAGUCCUCCCUGCGAAUCGCUACAUCCUCUGCAUGAUACACAAGGUGAUCAAAGCGGCCAUCCUUUGGCUUUGGCUUGGUGGUGUAGUAGGGGCAGUGCCACUUCUUGAUCUUGCGGUUGUAGAAGGAAGCAACUCCCUUGGCCUUGAUCUUCUCCACCUCCUUCGUUGUGAAGGACGCGACAUUACCGUACACAUCUUCUCCAGAAUCUUAUUGCACACAUGAAUGAAUUACAUUAAUACAUUAUAGAUUCAUAUACACCAUGUCAAAGGAACUAAAUGAACAAUCUAAAUUUCAAGUAGGCUUACAUCAUAUUCUUCGUCGUCACUACACUCUGGAUCGUACGGGUCGAACCCAGUAAGGCCCAGCUUCCUUUUAUUCCCCACUGAAUCAUCCUCCUGAAUAUAUAAUUACAUCCAUUACUAGUAAAUACAAAAGCCAAUUGAUGUUAUAGAUAUGCACACAUGACACAUUGAUCAUAUUAUCCAUACUAUGUUCCUAUUUGCAUUUUCCAUUGCCAUGCUUACACAUUGAACAACAAAGCUAACAUAACUACAUAUUAUGGACAAAUUUAUAUACUGAUGAAUCAAGUAAGUUCUUAAUCAAUUGGUAGCUACACCAAAAUUAAUGCAUUCUAUUUGGGCAUAUGACAUUCAAAACACCAAUCUGUGUAGCAUUCAAAAGCAAAUCUAAGCAUACAUGUGUGUAGCAUUCAAAACCCCAAUCUGUGUAGCAUUCAAAAACAAAUUUAAUAAUCAUGUGUAGCAUUUAGGCACAGAGAUCUCUAUCUCUCAUUAAGAUAUGUCUAGCAUUUUUUGCAACGAAUGUAAUCCGAAAAACUCCCAUACAAAAAAUUCCCAUCCCCCCAUACAGAAAACCCCAUCCCUCAAACCAACUGCUCUAACCAUCUGUACUACCCUACCAAUCACAAUCCAACCAAUGAAACUAACUCUACAACCCAUCUAAAUAUUGCAACUAGGGUACAAGCAAAUGGAAGUACCUCAUGUACCACCUUCUCCUCGCAGGCAGCGCAUCUGGAUGGACUGCGCCGCUCGAUGCCGUCACCUUCUGCUCCGGCAGCGCUGAGGCGGAGCCCGCCACCUCCUUCUCCACAUCCACAGCCGCGACAACAGUUGCGAGUUACCUCACACCACCGUGGAUGCCUCCAACGUCCUGCACUACAUCUGUCACGGUCAUCGCGCCCCGUAAAUUUCCGACCGCUGUGCUAGCAUCGCCACGAGUGUCCGCCAUCGGUAUGAGGGAGGCGAUGAAGGCGAGGAAGAGGAUGCGGUGGGGGAGAGCGAGAUAGUGCGGUGGAGGAGAGCGAGACGACGCGGUACGGGAGAGGUAGACAAUGCGGCAGGGAGGGGAUUUGGAGGGAAAUGGUAGGGACGAGGUGGUUCCUCCUCUUAUACGAUGGGACGUUUUUGGCAUGUUCCAUGGACACGUGCUACCCCAUGACCACGGUCAGUUACAUGCACGCCUACAUGGCCUCACUAGUCAGAGUUAACAGUCAAGCCAUUGACCUGACAACAACGUUCAGUUUGCCCAUUUGUGAGAGUUUCAACCAAGGGAGUGGGGGAAUUGAGCAAAAGUUAAGAGCGUGGGGAUGAAUGAGUACAGCUAAGGAACCAGGGGCACAGAUGUAAAAAUCUCUUUGUUUUAUAGUGAAACUGAUUCCAGCGCAACACUUAUCUCUACUACUCCCUCCGUUCUCCAAAAAUGCUAGACUUACGGGAAUCCCACUACGGAGGCAAGUUACACGAUUGCAUGGCCUAAUCUCAUUGAUUUUCUCACCAUAAAACUAGCCGUGGGACCCAAAUCAUGAUGAAUCCUAGGUCUCCAACUCAUCUCGAUAGAAUUGCCCGUAGGUGUAGCAAACUUCGUUCCAAAAUAUAGUAUUUUUUAUUCCCGUGCUUCAACUUUGAUCAUAAAUUUAUGGCAUCAAGCCACUCUGGACCUUUUGGUACUGCGAGCAGCGCAUUCCAUCUCCACCUCCAUUGCUGCCGUGGCGCCGCCAACGACCAUUGUUCGUUGAGGUGGAUCUGGAAGAGGCACGACAAGAAGCCAAUGAAGGCAUACUUUAAUAUUAGGCACAAUCACGUUCAUGCGUUUAUUGCGCAAACCGUACAUUUCAUUAGCUGCACGGGCUGGAAAUCUCUGUAGCCAUGGUUAUGUGCGUUUGUGACUUUCUGUAUUUCAGUGAUAAGGGUCGACACUGCCGUCAAAUCCAUAAAGGCAUCAAGUGUAUUAUAUAGAGUCAUGUUCGCCUGUGUCUGUUUUCCAGAUGAUUCAGUCGACUCGUUUAGACGGAGAGGCACGGACGAGAAGCCCAUGGAGGCAUACUUCAGUAUUAGGCAGAGUCACGUUCGAGCGUUUACUACACAAACCGAGCACGAGAUAGACACUUAGGUUAGGUCUUCACUGCGCACGUACAAAAAACACAACAGCUUAACGGAGGAGGAGGAGAAGAUCUCAGAAAAAAAUGAGGAUGAGGCACAGUGCAAGGACAUAAUUGCAGAUGUCACCACUGGUGCGUGUUUUUUAAAAGCAUAGACUAGCACUCUCUGCAGCCACGGUUAUGUACGUUUGCGACUCUCUGUGUUUCAGUCAUUAGGUUCACAGGCACAGGCAUCAAAUCCACAAAGGCAUCGUGUGGUAUUAUAUAGAGUCAUAUUCGGUUGUGUUUGUGUUCCGAAUGAUUCAGUCAACUCGUUCAGACGGAGAGGCACGGACGAGAAGCCCAUGGAGGCAUACUUUAGUAUUAGGCAGAGUCACUGUCAUGUGUUUAUUGUGAGGCAAUGAGCGGCAGAUUCGAGAGACGCUAUUUUGAAGCGUUCAAAAGGCAUUGUCGAUGUUUAGCCCACGGAGCUGAACCUUUGUCUCACGAACAGCCACGGGCGUUUACUCUAUGAGGAUCGGAAUAGCCUAUGUGUCAGAUACACUGUAUUUAAAAUAUUAUUUCCAUGUAUUUAAAAGCACAGACGUGAACUACCUACGGACACGGUUCCGUAUUGACUUGUGUCACGCUUCUUUCUUGGUGUUAAGUAUAUUAUUUGAUAUAAAAGGCGUGGAUGUUUGUGGCUCUCUGUGUUUCAUUGUUUCAUAGUGAAGCACUGGCACAGUAAUUUGUGAAGCUAGCGAUGGCACGCUUUUAAACAAAGCAAAUGCAUAGUGGUUCCACGACAAGCACGUCUCGAUUUGCAGAAACAACACUGUCAGUGGUUCUACCGGACGCACAGUAUGUUUUCACCCAAACGUUCACCACAAAGUCUGACGAGACGCCAAUGGUGUAAGACCUGGCUUCGGCCGGCAUCGAGGAGCCGCCGAGCCGGUAGUUAGUGCACGAGCAAGACCGUCAUGGCGACCUGCUGGCUGCCAAUGAAAUGCCGGAGCCCAUCCCUCUCAUUGACCUUGGCCGGCUCAUGGACGCCGACGAGGCUGACAAGCUCCGGGCGGCUCUACAGACCUGGGGCUUCUUCCUGGUGAGCGAGCAUCUGUGUAUGUGUGCACCUUAAUUACUCUUCCCUCCGUUCACAACUAUAUGAUGUUCUAACCUUUUUGUGAAUUGGAUACAUAUAGGCAUGUUUAUGUUUUAGUGUGGUUGUUCACCCAUUUCAGGCCGAGUGUAGUCCAUAUUGAAAUAUUCAAAACAUCUUAUAUUUGUAACGAAGGGAGUACUAGCUUGUAAAGUUAUUGGACUCUUACUGAAACUGUUUAACUUGUCCAGGACACCAAUCAUGGGAUCAAGGAUUCUCUCAUGGAUGCAAUGAUGACCCCGUCAAGGGAGUUCUUCCGUCAACCGUCCGAAGAGAAGCAGAAAUGCAGCAAUCUGGUGGAUGGCAACGGCAAGCAUUACCAGGUGGAAGGGUAUGGCAGUGACAGAGUGGUUUCUGAGGAUGAGGGCCUGAACUGGAACGACCGGUUGCAUCUGAGAGUGGAGCCGGAAGACGAGAGGAAUUUCGCUAAGUGGCCCAGUCACCCAGAAUCUUUCAGGUUCCCUACUCCCUUACCUUGAGUGAUGUUUUUCACAUUUCUAAUACUGUAUUAGCUUAGUUGUAAAGGAAGGCAGAGUGAGAAUUCCAGAAAAGUAUCAAUGUAAACUGCACUCUGGGUAGUCAAUUGUUUCAUAGCAUUGCGCGUCUCUCUUGCUAGUGGGCCCGUAUUACCAUAUCAUUUCCUAGAAUUAAGUAAGGCUGAAAGUUAACUAAUUUUGAUACAAUUUUCCUUUGUGAAUGCAGACUUUUGAGAACUUCUCUUAAUUACGUUCCAAAUAGUCGAACACAUAAGCAUGAUGAUAGAAGCCUUUGUUGGAACACACGGUACGCUAUGCUAGCACCAAAUAAAUUUUCUACCCCGCGCCCAUGAUCAUGUACUUGAAAUAGAUCACUAGAUCGGGUUUACCACUAGAUGCGCACUCAACGCAGCGGAAGUAGAGUUGGUGAUGUGUGCAGUCGUUCGGCCGAUCUCCAACGAACAGAUGUCCCGCGAACAACGAUCUCCCGGAUCCCUCGAACGACUCCUUGUGGUUCCCUCGAACGGUACGUCCAAGCACUACAUGUAGUGGUGGGCGCACAACAGAUGCCACGGGGUAGCUAAAGAGAGGGAUAGGCAAGAGGCAACCGGUGGGCUCCAGAGGUGAGGUUGGUACGAGCGAGCGGGAGACGCAAGACGUACCCAGGUUCAGGUCUCUCCGUAGAGAUAACACCCCUAGUCCUGCCGAGUGUGGUUUACAUGAAGAUGGUACAAGCUUGCUCCUAGAGCUAUUUUGGGAAGGAAGGAAGGCAGGCCAGUGCAUAGGAUGUUCCCUCUCCGUGUGGUGGAUGUAAGUGUGUGUGUGUGUGUGUGUGUGUGUGUGUGUCUGUGUGUUUGUGUGUGUGUGUGUGUGUGUGGCUAAUGGAAUCGACCCUCUGCAUGGAAGAGCACCGGGGGGUCUUAUAGGCUGCCCCCCGGGGGUUACAAUGGUAAAGAUACAUAGACGUGGGGCUGGGUCGCCAGUGUCUUGGAGCCGGCAGCAGGGCGCCGGGUCCGUCGGACGCGGGUCUUGCCGGGUCCGUCGGGUACGGGCCGUACUAGGCCCGCCGGGCACGGGUACGGCCGACUUCUCAGUGCUGUAGGCAUGCUGGGUGGUCGUCAUGGGACGGCCACGCCGUCUUGCUACAGGGUUGCACCCCUGGGACACCACCCGCCCCAGGCGGGGGCUUGGUCGGCACGGCAACCGCGCCCGCCGGGGCCGGCGUAAAGGAGGGCGCACUGUAGCCAUGUUGGUUUGUCGAUGAAGGUUUGACUUGGUAGAGCCGGCUGGCUUGGGCCGGCCGUCUUGGCUGGGUUGCGGGACCCGGCCGGGUUGCACUAGGAAGUCGGCCAGGGGCAAGCCGGAUUGACGGGCAUUGCUAGCCCCAAUGUUUUUGAAAGGGAUCCGGGUUCCGUUGCCUCACCGGGGACCAUCCCCCCGAUAGUAGUCCCCGAAGUUGUGAAGGCUCAUUGGCUUCAAGCAGGGGGGGCCUUCGCAGUUUCACCCCCCUCAAGAGGCAGCUGGGUUGAUGAUGUUUGUGGCCGCCGGGUUCGGCAACACCCACUGUGUGCCGGCUUCUGGAAGUCGGCUCACGGGACCCCGUUGUGGGCGGGAAACUGAGAAGUCUGCUAAAUCUUGAAUGGGAGGGACGCGCCCUCCCGUGGCCCGGUGCGGGUGCCACGUGGUAAACAGCGGCCGGAGAGGCCCUGCUAGGCCACGCGCGCGACGGGACGUAGCAGCGAGUUGGGGCCCACCAUGUCGUGCCCUUGGCCCUCGUGCAAGGAUUGAUUGCGGCCACAACGGACGGUUACGCUUCUCGGGGUAGUUAAUUUGUGGGGGAAAUGUGCCCACACAAUGCGGGGAAGUGUAAAAGCGGGCGGAGCCGAUCCCACUUCCUCACGUAUGACCGCGGUUAUAAUAUCGAGGAAGGGGCAGUGGAAAUACUCACACAUGCACCCCUCGCCUCGUCCUACUUCUCUCUGCCCAACCUCUCAAGCUCGUCAUCGACCGGAUCACCAGGCGCCACCCGAAUCGCCCACCGGCCGCGCUAGCUCCUUCUUGCCGCCGAACUUUGCACUCUCGCUGAGCCCCACAGAUGGCACCGCCAAAGGGCUCGUGGGAGGGGUCCAUCAUCACCCACGCCCAUAUCCAGUACCUCCGCGACACUCGACGGCUGCCGUCAGCGAAGGAUGUGGAUGCCCGCGCGCCCGGAGAGGAGGUGGAGCCGCAUCCGCAAGCUGGCGAGUGUGUGGUCUUCUACAACCACUUCAAGCACGGGCUCGGCCUCCCCGCGAGCACCUUCUUCCGUGCUUUCCUCUCUUUCUUCGGGCUGCAGCCGCACCAUCUGUGAACACCGUGCUGCAGCUCCCUGGUUUCGUCACCCUCUACAAGGAUUACUUGGGGGUGGAAACAGAUGUGGAGCUCUGAAGCCGCCUCUUCUUCCUUAAGCAGUAGGGACCGGAGGCCGGGGCCAUGUCCGACUGCGGGGCUGCCAUCGUUUCGGUCCUGCCGCACGAGGUGUUCCCCAAGACGCCCAUCUAGGAUUCUGCCAAGAAGUGGUAGAAUACCUUCUUCUACGUGCGCAAGGUCGGCGGAGGAGCCGAUGCCAUCAACUUGCCCCCGUUCAUCAAUGAGAAGCCGCUCGCCAAGAUGAACUUGGGCUACAUGCCCAAGAACCCGUCGCAUGGGGAUGCAAAAUCUGUGCAGCCGGAUUGGGGAGAUGAUGGUGCAGGGGGGCUCAAGGGGACGGAACUUGUCGCCGCCUUCAUCGCGCGCUGGGUGCUUCCACUGUAACACCGGGCACACAUCAUCGGCCAGAUAGGUGACCGUCGGGAUCCCACCCUGAUGUCAUCUGGGAGGCUGCCGGUGGAGCAGGUCGCCGACCGGGUGCACGGCAUCUCCAAGGCCGGGUUGCCCCCGGACAGGCGCUUUGGGAAGGCGCCCUAGCGCAGAGUACCCGGUGACAGUGGUGAGUCCUUGGUCCCCCUUUUUCGCAAUGUCACAACUCUUCCACCAUCCUGAUGCGAUGAGGGAGGUGCUGCUGAAUGCAAUCUGGCAAACAUGUGACGGGACGAGGGCGCAGGUACUGGCCAUCGAGCAAGCCCGCUCGAAGGGGGCAGAAUCCUUUGCCGAGAACCCGGAGCAGGCCGACGCUAAAGCCAGCGAGGUGCGCCGCGCGGGUAAGUCUCCACACCAAGACCUCUUACGAGGUUGGUCGGAUGAUGAUGUGGAGGUUCUGACGCACGACGGUGGUGCAGUGCCAUCAGGGGGAGGGGACGACACCGUUGACCGCCCCAAGACGGCUGAGGAAGACAGUCGGUUCCGGGUCGUCCUGCGCGCCGGCCGCGGCAAGCCGGCCGCACGGGAAGGAUGACAUGGCGCCGAAGCUGGCCACGAAGCGCGCACUGGAGCGACCGGCCGCACGCGGCAAGACGGCCGCUAAGAGGGUGCGUCGGGUCAUCCCGCCGCCACCAACAAGGCAGGCCAUCCCAACGGCGAUCGGGUAAGUUUCCUUCACUGAUCUCUGCCAACUGCUUGGCCGCAUCUUUCUUAUAUUUUCUUCACAUGGCUCAGGACGCCUCUUGACUUGGUGUUGGCCACGACGACGUCGCAUCCGGAGGUGGCUUCUCGUACCGGAGGACCCGGAGCAACGCCAUUGACCGGGAUGAGCACAUGUCUAAGGACACUAGUAGAAAACAGGGCUUUGGUUCACCCAGAAAAGAGCAUUAAUCCCGGUUGCAUUACAAACCGGGACUAAUGUGAGCAUUAGUCCCGGUUCAAAUGGGACCUUUAGUCCCAGUUGGUGCCACGAACCAGGACUAAAGGGUGUGAUGCCCAUUAGUACCGGUUCGUGCACCAACCGGUACUAAAGGUUAGACCUUUAGUCCCGGUUCAAGCCACCAACCGGUACUAAUGGGGUUUGAGGCAUUAGUACCGGUUCGUGGCACGAACCGGUACUAAAGGUCCCAUUUUCAAACUCUACCCCCCCGGUGGAUCGCCUUUUCAAUUUUGUAAAAAGCAAAAGAAAAUGAUAAAAACUUCAGAAAUUAAAAUCCUUCCAAAUGUAGUUAUGUUACUACAUGUACUAGUUAGGAAAAUUUAAAAACUUAAAUUUGGACAUGUUUUGCAAAAAAAUGUAGGGAAAAUAUAAAACAGUUAUAACUUUUGCAUACGAUGUCACAAAAAACGUAUAAUAUAUCAAAAUGUUCAGCAUGAAAAUCCGCAUCCGAUUUUGAUGGCCUACGGCCUGUUUGGAAAUUUUUAGAAUCCUCAAAUUCUAAAAGGAAAAAAAAGUUAUGCUCAAAUUUCAGUUUUUUGAAUUUUCGUUAAAUCUGGUCAAACUACUUAUUCAAGAAGUAUUAGUAUUACUAAAUAACUAUUCAAGAAGUAUUAGUGUUACUAAAUAAUUUUAAAAGAAUAUUAGUGUUAUUAAAUAAUUAUUUCAAUUUUUUUGAAUUUUGGUCAAAUCUGGUCAAACUAUGCUCAAAGUAUGGUCAAACAAUGGUCAAACUACUUAUUCAAGAAAUAUUAGUGUUACUAAAUAAUUAUUUCAGUUUUUUUGAAUUUUGGCCAAAUCUGGUCAAACUGUAGUCAAACUACUUAUUCAGGAAAUAUUAGUGUCACUAAAUAAUUAUUGUUUUUAAGAACAAUAGUUUCAAACUCAAAUAGUGAAAUGUGUGACUUCAUGCUCAAGCUAAAUUCCUGAGGGUUAAUAGGAUUGAUAUCUUACUAUUGUCAGGAAAACAACAAGUGCAGACUUGGAAACGAGGGAGAAUAGAAUCCGGAAGUUAAGCGUGCUCAGGCUAGGGUAGUGAGAGGAUGGGUGACUCUCCGGAAGUUAGAUGAUUUGGAAUGAUGAUGGGUGAUUAGAGAUUAGAUUGGAAAGUAAUUCAAAAAUUUGAAAAAUCAAUUUUUUUAAAAACAAAUCCAUUUUUUUAUAAAAGAAAUUCAAAAAAAAUUAAGAGUUGACCAAUAUGAUACUCAUACUGAAACUUGAUAUGGUCAUGAAAGAGUCUUUGGUGAUAUAAUAUUAAAGCAAUGAAGGGAAAUUAAGAGUUUAUUGUGGCUUUCAAGAAACCAAGAUGGGGCAUGAAGUAAAGAUGUUGGUUAACCAAGAGAAAGCAAACUCUCGUGGGGAGGACGACGCCCAGGGAAUCGAACGGCAGAGGACACGCAAAUUGAACGGCUGGGGGCCGGCGCCUAGCAGUGGCCCGUAACAAAAUAGUAAAAAGCCAACCCCCCAAAAAACAGCAAUGCUCAUGCUAGUAUGAUUAUCUUCCUCUGAUGAGCGGUGCACUGGAAUCAGUUGUGCCCCCCGCAAAAAAAGUCAGAGCCGGGACCCAUUUCUUGAUCACUUUAGCUACUUUCAGUCGGCCGAAAAUUUAUUUUAGGGUCUGUCCUUUUUUUUCCCACUUUCUUAUGCACUUGAUGAGCACUGCAACGGGCAUGCAGCCGAUGCACACAAUCUUUCUUAAUUAGCAUGAGUACUAAUAGGCAGACCAAAAAUACUAAUCGGCAUGUUUCUUGGCUAGUGCCAGUUUAAAUUUAAAGAGAAAAUUUAUGGUGCCUUUGCUAUUUUAUAGUCGUCUAAAGAAUUGGCAAGUGGGCUUAUGCUUUGAUUGAAUAUGAUUUGGCUUAUGAAUCUCUAAAAUCCAUGAAAGGCCAAAUUGUUGCUAAUUUCAUUAUUGAAUAUCGGAUUGAUGACAAGCAUGAUGUUGAUAUGAACCUUGUUUCAUUAGUACCAUGGAGAUUAUACUUUGAUGGUUCAGUUUGUAGCAAUGGUCAAGGUGUUGGUAUUGUUUAUAUAUCUCCUCAUGGUGCUAUUUUUGAAGCCUCAUGCCGCUUAGAAUAUUUUUGCACAAACAAUCAAGCCGAAUAUGAAGCAUUGUUAUUCGGCCUAGAGAUGUUACUUGCUAUAGGUGUUACACAUAUUGAGGCUUACGGUGAUUCGUUACUAGUGGUGCAGCAAAUAUCCAGAGUCUUUCAGUGUUUGGACGAAUCACUUAAUGUUUAUCUUUGAUAAAUGUCUAGAUAUAAUUUCUACUUUGGAUUGUUUUAGCAUUGCACAUAUAUCUAGACAUGACAAUUAGAAAGCAAAUGAGUUGGCACAGCAAGCAUCUGGAUAUCAUGUUGAUCAUGGCAUGUUUCAUAUCUCUCAAAGACCGAUGUCUUGUCUUGCCAAUAUGGGAGAGGCCGAACCUGAACCCACUGAUUCGGCCAUUAACAAAAAAUCUAGUGCAGGUGAUAAUCCCAACUGGAGGAAGCCCAUUGUUGAUUACUUGUGCAAUCCGAGUGAAAGGGUGGACAGGGCUGUUCGGCGUAUGGCUUUCAAGUAUACAACGAGAGAUGAUGGUCUUUAUCGCCGAACAGUCGAUGAUGUUCUUCUAAAGUGUUUGGACGACGACCAGGCAAGAGUUGCUAUGGGAGAAGUACAUGAAGGUAUUUGUGGCACUCACUAGUCGGCUCCCAAGAUGAAAUGGUUAUUGCGACGUGCUGGGUUUUAUUGGCCGACUAUGAUUAAUGAUUGCUUUAGAUAUUAUAAAGGGUGUGAAGCUUAUCAAAAGUUUGGUGAUAUUCAAUUGGCUCCUGCUGCUAUGUUACAUCCUAUUAUCACACCGUGGCCUUUCAGAGGUUGGGGCUUAGAUUUCAUUGGACAAAUCCACCCGUCUUCCUCAAAAGGGCAUCGGUUCGUAUUGGUGGCAACUGAUUAUUUCACUAAAUGGUCUGAAGCAGUACCUCUCAAGAACAUGACACAUACGGAGGAAAUUCAGUUCAUAACCAAACACAUUAUUCGUAGAUUUAGUAUUCCUCAAACGUUAACUACGGAUCAAGGUUCAUCUUUUAUGUCGCACCAAGUCAUAGAGUUUGCCGAAUCUUAUAAUAUAAAGUUGCUCAAUUCCUCUCCGUAUUAUGCCCAAGCUAAUGGACAAGCCGAGUCUAGCAAUAAAAUUUUAAUCAAGCUCAUCAAGAAAAAGAUUGAGGAUAAUCCGAGGAGAUGGCAUGAGUUGUUGUCUGAAGCAUUAUGGGCACAUAGAAUUUCAAGGCAUGGUGCUACGAAGGUAACUCCAUAUGAGCUAAUAUAUGGUCAAGAGGUUGUUUUACCAGUGGAGGUAAAUUUGAAUGCUUUGAGAAUAGCCAAACAAAAUAAUUUAUCGACAAUAGGCUUUUAUAAUUUAAUGAUGGACAAUAUUGAUGAGGUUGCCGAUAAACGUUUGGCUGCUUUAAAGGCCAUAGAGAGAGAUAAGUUGAGGGUGGCAAGAGCUUACAAUAAGAAAGUCAAAUUGAAGAAUUCUCAAGUUGGUGAUCUCGUCUGGAAAGUGAUUCUGCCGAUUGGUUCAAGAGAUAGAAAAUUCGGGAAGUGGUCUCCAAGUUGGGAAGGUCCUUUUAGAUUACAAGAAUUAUUCCCGGAAAUUCAUAUUUGGUGGAAUCAAUACAAGGGGCAUUGUUACCUCGAGCUCUCAAUGGCAAAUAUUUGAAGAAGUACCACCCGAGUGUGUGGCAGGAAGCCUAAGUAGGUAAUGGCCGAUAUACGAUUAUCGCCCUUAGCACAAACAUGGCCGAUACAUAAUUAUCGCCCUGAGAAAAAUAAAUGGCCGAUGGAGUGUUGACAUCGUCCUUAGAAUGAACACCAUGCAUAUUAUUUUUCGGCGUGCAAGCUUUGCCGAAAAAUAGGGGGCAUGUGUUGACGCCUGAUUUUGGCAAGAUACAGAAUGAAAGGGUUUUCAGCAUGAUAAAGUUUCACAUCGUCGAGUGGAACGACUUUGAUGUUUAGGCUAUCGCCAUUCGACCUCAUCUCAGUGGCCGAAGCUGUACUCCGAGUGACAAAAUUUAGUGUUCUGAGUGCUUUUCGGCCGUUUACGCCCUCAAUAUGACCUCAGAUGAAGUAGUGCUUUAAAGGAGUUGUCUUCGUCUCGUCGAGACAAUCGAUUUUCAUAUAUAAAUCAUCUUAAUCCGAGUUCAUAUGCAAAAGUUACAGUCAAUACUGUUUGGACAGGCCAAAGACCAAAAUAUUACGCUUGACACCAGACACAUAUUGAUGAGUGUCUGAUGCAAUGCGUGAGCAAUUCGGACCUCAAGACGGACUUGAAUAGAAAAACCUUCAACACAGAAAGGUUUCGUCUCGUCGAGACGAUCGUUUUUCAUAUAUAAUUCGUCCCAAUCCGAGGUCGUAUGAGGCCUGGAGAGACAAAACAAGAUCAGGCUAUGUUUUCAGUCGGAAAAUCCGAGUGAAAAGCUUACCAUCCGAGUGAAAAGCUUACCAUCCGAGUGAAAACUUAUCGGUCGAGUGAAAGUUUUCCGUCCGAGUGAAAUUAUUAUCAUCCGAGUGAAAUUGUUACCGUCGGAAUGAAAACUUGCCGAUCGAGUAAGAGAUUGUCUUCCGAGUGAAAAUAUAAUCAUCCGAGUGAAAAGAUUACCGUCGGAAUAAAAACUUGCCGAUCGAGUAAAGAGAUUGCCUUCUGAGUAAAAAUAUGAUCAUCCGAGUGAAAAUUGUCUUCCGAGUGAAAGAUUCUAACAUCCGAGUGAAAAAGUCCAGUCGGACGAUCCAAGUGAAUGACUCUAAUCCGAGUGGAUGAUCCAAGUGAAUGACUCUAAUCCGAGUGGAUGAGCUCGAAUCCGAGUGAAACUGAACAUAUGCCCGGAAGUUUAUCAAGAUGACCUCGGAUGAAGAAGUGUUCAAUACAGAAGUUGUGCAUAUUAUCAAGAAGGUAAACUUUGGUUUUGGAGUCAUCAUCAUCAGAGAUAGUAUAUGGCCUACAAAUUUACUACGAGACUCGGAUAAUCCAGUCUACUGCAAGACCGAGUCCGACUAGAAGGUAAAGAUGACCUCGAAAAGUAUUCAAGAAAGCCUUAUUUGAAAAAGUGAUCAACAUGAGAGUUGUUUGUAUCAUCGAGGCGCACAAGUUUGAUAUUUGGGCCGUCUUGAUCAGAGAUCAUAUGCAAGCUCAGCGGCCCACGUAAGAAGGAAGACAGAGUUUGGGCCAGAUUCAGACUGAAUCCGAGUUGGAAUAGAAAUAGGACUCUAGGACGUGAAUUGAUGUAAUUUUUCUUGUAAGGAAAGCCUAGAUGAAUCCUUUACUUGUACGGGAAGUCCAGUCACCUCUUAUAUAUGUUGGGGGUGAUGGCCGAUUGAACAACACACAAUCGAACAAAUCAAUAUAUUGGUUUUUUCCUGUCUACGUUUUAUCUCUCCACCGUUUUUCUCUCUCGUUCUUCGCUAUUCUUCGUGUUUGAGAGCUGCGAAUCCUGAGGCUCUAGGGGCGAGCGAAUCGACCUAGGGCAGCCCAUAGCCGCCGCAAUCCCUGACGGGGUCCCUCCCGGGUGCGCGGGGUUUCGGGUCUGCAAAAGCGCCCACCGACUGUCUUGCGUAUCGCGCUGUCGGUCGGGUCUCCUUCGACGUGAGCUGCGGUGCAUCACCCCCGGCGUCGAGGGUACAUGUUACGUGUUCGUGUGUCAACACACUUUUUGGCGACUCCGCUAGGGAACGAAGAUCAAUCAUCAUCAUCCACCAUGUCCGAUCUUCCCAAGCCAUCUGAGGUAGACGCCGAUAACAUCAUUAAGCCCAGUCUUGAUGAGAUAUCGGCCGAUCAUCGCCAAGUCUAUGAGGAGUACAAGAAGGCGUGCGAGGAGAAGGACUUGCAGGAGUUCCUUGCAAAGUUCAAGAAGGAUCGCCAAGGCAACAUCACUCCGAUUGAAGAAAUCAAGUUCCCUCCUCUUCAAGCCGAGCAGGUUAAACCCUCUGUAAGUACUGCCUUUUCUCCUGAGCAGUGGGCUGAGAUUGAAAGUCGUAUUGCUGAUGGUAACAAUCUAGUCUAUCAAACUUUCAUAGAAAAUACUAAUGCUCAGAAGAACACAUCUCAAUCGUCUAGUGGUAAUGAUGGUGUAGCUGCUAGUGUGCAAAACCCUAACCUGGCUUUACCUAUUUCAUCGGCGCCUCCUAUGCCGAUGACUUAUUAUUCUACACAAGCAAAUCAGAUUAUAGCUGCACCAACUAAUCCUAUUUUGAGCAUGCCCGGUUCGGUGGCAACGCCGAACCCAACCCUACCUAUAGCUACAACCACUCGACCACUAGCAAAUUAUGGGUCGACAUACAUGCCAUAGUUCCUACCUACAACUAGUAGUCCUACUCCUCCUAUGCCACUACCACAAGUUUCAUCGUCCACUAUGGAUGAUGGUUUAGCUAAUCUUAGAGAGGAGAUGGCUAAGAUGCUUCGAGAGAAUUUUGGGGUUGAGUUACCUCGGAAUCGGAUUUACCAAAAGCCGUACCCCGAGUACUUUGAUGCCAUCCAGUGCCCUCCAGGAUAUGAAAUUCCAGAUUUUGUUAAGUUCAAUGGAGAGGGCACAAAAACCACAUGGGAGCAUGUUAGUCAAUACUUAGCACAACUAGGUGAAGCAGGCUCACUAAAUGAGUUGAAAGUGCGUUUAUUUCCUUUGUCAUUAACUGGUACCGCAUUUUCAUGGUUUUCUUCUUUACCACAUGGUUCCAUUCGAGUUUGGUUGCAGCUAGAGCAGAAAUUUCAUGAUCACUUUUAUAGCAGCGACAAUGAACUCAAGUUGUCACAUAUAACAUCGGUUAAACAGAAGCAUGGUGAAUCGGUCUCCGAUUAUGUCAAGAGAUUCAGAGAAACAAAAAACCGGUGUUUUAGUUUGGUGAUAACCGAGAGGGACUUGGCGGACCUAGUGCCGAGUGGUUUGAGAACUCCCAUUAGAGAAAAGCUAGAAGGCUAUGAGUUUUUAAAUAUCAACCAAGUCUUACAAAGGGCUUUGGCUCAGGAAAGCCGAAGCGAAGAUCUCAAAGAAGUGCAUAGAUACAAAGCCGAUCGUCCAAAGAUGAAUAUGGUGGAAUAUGAUAGUGAUCACUCGGACGAUGAGGGUGAUGUUUUUGCUACUGAAUUUGUUUGGCCAUCUAAGGUCAAACCCUUUACUUGCAAUGAUCUGAAACCAAUUCAUAAGAAUAGUGAUGAAGAGAUAAAGUUCACUUUUAACAUUGCUAAGUGUGAUAGAAUAUUUGAUGCUUUGCUGCAGGCUAAGAUUAUUAGAAUAUCUCAUACUUCACCGCCGUUUGAAGAGCUGAAACGGCGUGCUUAUUGCAAGUAUCAUAAUUCUUUUUCUCAUGCUACUAAUGAUUGCAAUGUUUUUCGACGACAGAUACAAUCGGCCAUUAAUGAUGGACGAUUGAACUUUUUUGAGAUGCAAGUUGAUAAACAACCCUUUCCAAUGAACACCAUGGAUUUAGAAGGGAAGAAGCUGCUCAUUCGGCCGAAGGUAGCCGAAUCUGCUAAUAAAGCUAAUGUCAUUAUUGGUGAGCCCAGGAAAGACAAGGAGGACAACAAAGUCUUGGGGAGACAUGUUGUGCUUGAUAAGCAACCCGAUGGCAAGGAAGUGAUCAAGAUCACCAUCAAGAAUCCUACACUCGGGGGGGCAAGCACAGGUGCAGCAGGACACUCGAGUUAAAUUUGUUAAGCCCAAGAGUCCUGAAGUUGGCAAGUGGAAGAUGAACAAAGCUAAAGUACAGCGCAAGCGGAUCAAGCCAACUUUUGAUAUGUUGAUGUCCAAAUAUGCUAAUCAGUCGGCUGGUUCCAGCUCUAACCGGCCAUCAUACUUGAAACGACCAAGCUCACCAUCAGAUGAUAUGUUUAGUCAGUAUAUGAACAAAGGCGUUGUUUCCAGAAGAGCAAAGGCAAACUGUUUGGAAUCGACUUGAAUACUCAUAUAAUGGCCGACUGAACAUCGGUAACUAUUGGUCGGCUGGUCAAAACAUGCGAACGGAUGGAAAUUAUCCGAGUGUAAGAAUGCACCCAGGUGGAAACUAUCCGAGUGAAAAAAUGAGGCCGAGUAGAUUCCAUCCGACUGAAUUCCAUCCGAGUGAUAUCCAUCCGAGUGGAUUCCAUCAGAGAAAAAGAUGCGCCCGAGUGGAAAUUGCAUGCAUCUGGAAAGUCGAAAAGAAUGGCAUGUUAAAUCACCAAGUGGUGCAGCAGUUGAGUCGGGAAAAGGCAAGGAGAAAAUGGACGCCGACUCACUUAUCUUGGGCACCAAAACAUUCGCCAUACAGCAGCCGAUUGUGCAUAGCAAUCCGACUGAGCCGAUACUUGCUAUCGCACCAAAGCACUCGGCUAAUGACCAUGAAGCAAGCACCAGCCAGGUAAAAACGAGAGAUCCUAAAUACACUCAGCCAAAGUGGUGUCCUCCAGGGCUAACGAAGACACAAAAGAGGAAACUACAGAGGUUAAGGAGUCAAGAGAUGGCAGAACAGGAGGCCGAGAAACAAAGGGAUACGUUGUUCAAUGACACUCGACCCAUGGUUCCAGCAAAACAAGUGUGGAGGCCCAAACAAAUACAAGAGGCAGUGACUUUUACACCAACCACAGCAGUACCUACAUUACCAAAAGAGGAUGACACAAUCAUUGCAUCGUCUAUGUUACCUAUUGCUUCCUCUUCACUCGGACAAAUUUCAGAAUCGGUGGAUGCACUCGAGAAGGAGGUUGAUAUGUUGGACUAUGAGUCUACGCCGGUUCAUGAAGGUAUGGAUAUCAAUAUGGUGUAUUACUUACCUGCUGAGUUUCGUGCUGUAGACGAGGAAUGGGAGGUGGCUUAGCUGGAUUUUUGCCCUAAAAAUGCAAUAUUCGAGAAGCCAAAAGAACCAGUAACGCAUCUGAAACCAUUAUAUCUCACAGGUCAUAUCAAUGGGUCGCCGCUCACUCGGAUGCUUGUGGAUGGAGGUGAUGUGGUAAAUCUUAUGCCCUAUUCGGUCUUCAAGAAAUUGGGUUUGCCUGAUGAAGAAUUGAUCAAGACCAAUAUGGUGCUCAACGAUUUUGAAGGCAAAGAGAAAACUAAAGCCAAAGGUGUAAUGUAUGUGGAGCUUACAUUCGGAAGCAAAACUUUGGCUACUGCAUUCUUUGUCGCUGAGGUGCAAGGUAACUACAACGUUAUACUAGGUCGUGAUUGGGUUCAUGCAAACCAGUGCGUGCCAUCCACUAUGCACCAGUUUUUGAUUCAGUGGGUUGAUGAUGAAGUGGAAGUCAUUCAUGCGGACAACUCGGUCUGUGUUGCUUUGGCCGAUGCAUCGGUGGAUUGGCAACAUCCCAAUGCUACUUGCUUGACGGGACGUGACUUAUCAGAGUUUGAUUUUCUCAGCGCGCCCAAGAAUGGUUUUGUGCCCGUGUCUUUAAAGCCGACUGAAUGCAAUCGGCUCCAAGGUAUGAUAUGUUUAAAUGGAUCCUAAUUCCGAGUGGUUACAAAAACGUCUUGUAAAAUAUCGGUCCAGUGAGGACGAUAUGUAUGAGUCUAUAGAGGAGUUGGAUGACAUGGAUAAACUUGGACAAGGUUUUACAUCGGCUAAUCCAUUAGAAGAGAUAGAUAUUGGAGAUGAUUCAGUCACUCGACCGACAUUUAUAAACAAAAAUUUGAAAGCUGAUUGUAAGGCUAAAUUAAUCGAGCUAUUGAAAGAAUAUGUUUGUCGCUUUGCGUGGGAAUAUCAUGAGAUGCCAGGUUUAAACCGAGAGCUAGUGGAGCAUCGGUUACCUAUAAAGGCCGGUUUUAGACCAUAUAAACAGUCGGCCAGAAAGUUUAAUCCGAAAACAUAUGACCGGAUCAAGGAAGAGAUCGGUCGACUGCUGGAAGCUAAUUUCAUUCGACCUUGCAGGUAUGCCGAGUGGAUUUCUAACAUUGUCCCAGUGGAGAAGAAGGGAUCCGGCAAGUUGAGGGUGUGCAUUGACUUCAGAGAUUUGAAUAGGGCUACACCCAAAGAUGAGUAUCCCAUGCCAAUAGCCGAUAUGCUUAUUAAUGAUGCUUCUGGACAUAAGGUUAUUAGCUUUCUAGAUGGUAAUGCCGGAUACAAUCAAAUUUUUAUGGCCGAAGAGGACAUGUACAAAACAGCUUUCCGAUGUCCUUGUUUCCUUGGUUUAUUCGAGUGGACAGUGAUGACAUUCGGAUUAAAUAAUGCUGGAGCCACAUAUCAAAGGGCUAUGAAUUUGAUUUUUCAUGAUUUACUCGCUAUCAUACUUGAAGUUUACAUUGAUGAUAUUGUUGUCAAAUUGGAUGCUUUUGAAUCUCACUUGGUCGAUUUGCGUUUAGCUUUUGAAAGAAUGAAAAAGUAUGGACUGAAGAUGAAUCCUUUGAAGUGUGCUUUCGGCGUGUCAGCUGGCAAGUUUUUGGGUUUCGUUAUUCAUGAAGAAGGCAUAGAGAUUGAUCCCAAAAAGAUAGAGGCUAUACAGAAAGUGGAGGCUCCAACAUGCAAGAGAGAUAUGCAAACAUUCAUUGGCAAGGUCAAUUAUUUGAGAAGGUUCAUAGCUAAUCUAUCAGGGAAAGUUGAUGCAUUUACUCCUAUCCUUCCGUUGAAGAAUGAUGUUGAUUUCACUUGGGGGGCAAAACAGCAAGAAGCAUUUGAUAUGAUCAAGAGAUAUUUGUGCACUCCUCCGGUGAUGAAAGCACCCAAGCAUAGGAAACCCUUCAGGCUUUACAUUGCAGCGGAGGAAGGAGUUAUUGGUGAUCUUUUGACUCAAGAAACCGAGAGAAAAGAGCAUGCUAUUACAUAUUUGAGCAGACGCUUAUUGGACGCCGAGACAAGGUAUACAAUUAUUGAGAAACUAUGUCUAUGCUUAUAUUAUGCUUGCACAAAAUUGAGACAUUAUUUAGUGCCGAGUGCUUGUAUAGUAGCUUUUCAAACCGAUGUUGCAUAGGCCAAUUCUUAGUGGUAGAAUUGGCAAGUGGGCUUAUGCUUCGAUUGAAUAUGAUUUGGCUUAUGAAUCUCUAAAAUCCAUGAAAGGCCAAAUUGUUGCUAAUUUCAUUGUUGAACAUCGGAUUGAUGACAAGCAUGAUGUUGAUAUGAACCUUGUUUCAUUAGUACCAUGGAGAUUAUACUUUGAUGGUUCAGUUUGUAGCAAUGGUCAAGGUGUUGGUAUUGUUUAUAUAUCUCCUCAUGGUGCUAUUUUUGAAGCCUCAUGCCGCUUAGAAUAUUUUUGCACAAACAAUCAAGCCAAAUAUGAAGCAUUGUUAUUCGGCCUAGAUAUGUUACUUGCUAUAGGUGUUACACAUAUUGAGGCUUACGGUGAUUCGUUACUAGUGGUGCAGCAAAUAUCCAGAGUCUUUCAGUGUUUGGACGAAUCACUUAAUGUUUAUCUUGAUAAAUGUCUAGAUAUAACUUCUACUUUGGAUUGUUUUAGCAUUGCACAUAUAUCUAGACAUGACAAUUGCAAAGCAAAUGAGUUGGCACAGCAAGCAUCUAGAUAUCAUGUUGAUCAUGGCAUGUUUCAUAUCUCUCAAAGACCGAUGUCUUGUCUUGCCAAUAUGGGAGAGGCUGAACCUGAACCCACUGAUUUGGCCAUUAACAAAAAAUCUAGUGUAGGUGAUAAUCCUGACUGGAGGAAGCCCAUUGUUGAUUACUUGUGCAAUCCGAGUGAAAGGGUGGACAGGGCUGUUCGGCGUAUGGCUUUCAAGUAUACAAUGAGAGAUGAUGGUCUUUAUCGCUGAACAGUCGAUGAUGUUCUUCUAAAGUGUUUGGACGAGGACCAGGCAAGAGUUGCUAUGGGAGAAGUACAUGAAGGUAUUUGUGGCACUCACCAGUCGGCUCCCAAGAUGAAAUGGUUAUUGCGACGUGCUGGGUUUUAUUGGCCGGCUAUGAUUAAUGAUUGCUUCAGAUAUUAUAAAGGGUGUGAAUCUUGUCAAAAGUUUGGUGAUAUUCAAUUGGCUCCUACUGCUAUGUUACAUCCUAUUAUCAAACCAUGGCCUUUCAGAGGUUGGGGUUUAGAUUUCAUUGGACAAAUCCACCCGUCUUCCUCAAAAGGGCAUCGGUUCGUAUUGGUGGCAACUGAUUAUUUCACUAAAUGGUCUGAAGCAGUACCUCUCAAGAACAUGACACAUACAAAGGUAAUUCAGUUCAUAACCGAACACAUUAUUCAUAGAUUCAGUAUUCCUCAAACGUUAACUACGGAUCAAGGUUCAUCUUUUAUGUCACACCAAGUCAGAGAGUUUGCCGAAUCUUAUAAUAUAAAGUUGCUCAAUUCCUCUCCGUAUUAUGCCCAAGCUAAUGGACAAGCCGAGUCUAGCAAUAAAAUUUUAAUCAAGCUCAUCAAGAAGAAGAUUGAGGAUAAUCUGAGGAGAUGGCAUGAGUUGUUGUCUGAAGCUUUAUGGGCACAUAGAAUUUCAAGGCAUGGUGCUACGAAGGUAACUCCAUAUGAGCUAGUAUAUGGUCAAGAGGCUGUUUUACCAGUGGAGGUAAAUUUGAAUGCUUUGAGAAUAGCCAAACAAAAUAAUUUAUCGGUAGUAGACUUUUAUAAUUUAAUGAUGGACAAUAUUGAUGAGGUUGCCGAUAAACGUUUGGCUGCCUUAAAGCCAUAGAAAGAGAUAAGUUGAGGGUGGCAAGAUCUUACAAUAUGAAAGUCAAAUUGAAGAAUUUUCAAGUUGGUGAUCUCGUCUGGAAAGUGAUUAUGCCGAUUGGUUCAAGAGAUAGAAAAUUCAGGAAGUGGUCUCCAAGUUGGGAAGGUCCUUUUAGGAUUACAAGAAUUAUUCUCAGAAAUUCGUAUUUGGUGGAAUCAAUACAAGGGGCAUUGUUACCUCGAGCUCUCAAUGGCAAAUAUUUGAAGAAGUACCACCCGAAUGUGUGGCAGGAAGCAUAAGUAGGCAAUGGCCGAUAUACGAUUAUCGCCCUUAGCACAAAUAUGGCCGAUACAUAAUUAUCACACUGAGAAAAAUAAAUGGCCGAUGGAGUGUUGACAUCGUCCUUAGAACGAACACCAUGCAUAUUAUUUUUCGGCAUGCAAGCUUUGCCGAAAAACAGGGGGCAUGUGUUGACGCCUGAUUUUGGCAAGAUACAGAGUGAAAGGGUUUUCAGCAUGAGAAAGUUUCACGUCGUCGAGUGGAACGACUUUGAUGUUUAGGCUAUCGCCAUUCGACCUCAUCUCAGUGGGCGAAGCUGUACUCCGAGUGACAAAAUUUAGUGUUCUGAGUGCUUUUUGGCUGUUUACGUCCUCAAUAUGACCUCAGAUGAAGGAGUGCUUUAAAGGAGUUGUCUUCGUCUCGUCGAGACGGUCGAUUUUUAUAUAUAAAUCAUCUUAAUCCAAGUUCAUAUGCAAAAGUUACAGUCAAUACUGUUUGGACAGGCCAAAGACCAAAAUAUUACGCUUGACACCAGACACAUGUUGAUGAGUGUCUGAUGCAAUGCGUGAGAAAUUCGGACCUCAAAACGGCCUUAAAUCGAAAAAUCUUCAACACAAAAAGGUUUCGUCUCGUCGAGCCAAUUGAUUUUCAUAUAUAAUUCGUCCCAAUCCGAGGUCGUAUGUGGCCUGGAGAGACAAAACAAGAUCAGGCUAUGUUUUCAGUCGGAAAAUCCGAGUGAAAAGCUUACCAUCCGAGUGAAAAGCCUACCAUCCCAGUGAAAGCUUACCAUCCGAGUGAAAACUUAUCGGUCGAGUGAAAGUUUUCCGUCCGAGUGAAAUUAUUAUCAUCCAAGUGAAAUUGUUACCGUCGGAAUGAAAACUUGCCGGUCGAGUAAGAGAUUGUCUUCCGAGUGAAAAUUUAAUCAUCCGAGUGAAAAGAUUACCGUCGGAAUAAAAACUUGCUGAUCGAGUAAAGAGAUUGCCUUAUGAGUAAAAAUAUGGUCAUCCAAGUGAAAAUUGUCUUCCGAGUGAAAGAUUCUAACAUCCGAGUGAAAAAGUCCAGUCGGACGAUCCAAGUGAAUGACUCGAAUCCGAGUGGAUGAGCUCGAAUCCGAGUGAAACUGAACAUAUGCCCGGAAGUUUAUCAAGAUGACCUCGGAUGAAGAAGUGUUCAAUAUAGAAGUUGUGCAUAUCAUCAAGAAGGUAAACUUUGGUUUUGGAGUCAUCAUCAUCAGAGAUAGUAUAUGGCCUACAAAUUUACUACGAGACUCGGAUAAUCCAGUCUACUGCAAGACCGAGUCCGACUGGAAGGUAAAGAUGACCUCGAAAAGUAUUCAAGAAAGCCUUAUUUGAAAAAGUGAUCAACAUGAGAGUUGUUUGUAUCGUCGAGGCGCACAAGUUUGAUAUUUGGGCCGUCUUGAUCAGAGAUCAUAUGCAAGCUCAGCGGCCCGCGUAAGAACGAAGACAGAGUUUGGCCAGAUUCAGACUGAAUCCGAGUUGAAAUAGAACUAGGACUCUAGGACGUGAAUUGAUGUAUUUUUUCUUGUAAGGAAAGCCUAGAUGAAUCCUUUACUUGUACGGGAAGUCCAGCCGCCUCUUCUAUAUGUUGGGUGUGACGGCCGAUUGAACAACACACAAUCGAACAAAUCAAUAUAUUACUUUUUCCUGUCUACGUUUUAUCUCUCCACCGUUUUUCUCUCUCGUUCUUCGCUGUUCUUCGUGUUUGAGCUGCGAAUCCUGGGGCUCUAGGGGCGAGCGAAUCGACAUAGGGUAGCCCAUAGCCGCCGCAAUCCCUGACGGGGUCCCUCCCGGGUGCGCGGGGUUUCGGGUCUGCAAAAGCACCCACCGACUGUCUUGCGUAUCGCGUUGUCGGUCGGGUCUCCUUCGACGUGAGCUGCAGUGCAUCACCCCCGGCGUCGAGGGUACACGUGACGUGUUCGUGUGUCAACACACUUUUUAGCCACCUAACGUUUAUAAUAAUUCAGCAAACUUUUCAACAUCACACCACAUGCAAUGGACUUCAAGUGUUGGUUCAAAUUCAAAUUUUCCCUCAAAUUCAAAUUAGAAUAUUUGAUCUGUUAUUGGAAUAUUUGAUCUGUUAUUGAAAUACUUGAUCAAAUGAUGGACUAUCUUCAUUCAAAUGUUGGUUUUUUGCUCUGUUAUUGAAAUAUUUGAUCAAAUGAUGGGCUAUUUGCUCUUUUUGCUUAUUCUUUGCAGCAUGUCUGAUCAGUGAAGCCACAUUGAAGCAGUAUGUGUGAUCAUUGCAGCACCUAAACUUAUAGCUCACAACAUCUAAACAUAACAUACCAUACAGCAUAGGCAAAUUUAAGGACAGACAAAUAUAGAUAGCAUAAUAAAUUAAUACCAUAGAUCACACACAAAGUUUAGAUACCACGACACAAAGUUUACCAAACAGCCAUAUUCAGUUUACCAAAAGUAAAAUACAAAACAUCAUCACAUCACACCGGAGUCAGGGCCUUUGCGAGGGCAGCAUGCUGCCCCCUGAUCUUGUAGUCCUUCCCGCGAAUCGCUACAUCCUCUGCAUGAGACACAAGGUGAUCGAAGCGGCCAUCCUUUGGCUUUGGCUUGGUGGUGUAGUAGGGUCAGUGCCACUUCUUGAUCUUGCGGUUGUAGAAGGAAGCAACUCCAUUGGCCUUGAUCUUCUCCACCUCCUUCGCUGUGAAGGACGCGACAUUACCGUUGUACACAUCUUCUCCAGAAUCUUAUUGCACACAUGAAUGAAUUACAUUAAUACAUUAUAGAUUCAUAUACACCAUGUCAAAGGAACUAAAUGAACAAUCUAAAUUUCAAGUAGGCUUACAUCAUAUUCUUCGUCGUCACUAUACUCUGGAUCAUACGGGUCGAACCCAGUAAGGCCCAGCUUCCUCUUAUUCCCCACUAAAUCAUCCUCCUGAAUAUAUAAUUACAUCCAUUACUAGUAAAUACAGAAGCCAACUGAUAAUUUAGAUAUGCACACAUGACACAUUGAUCAUAUUAUCCAUACUAUGAUCCUAUUUGCAUUUUCCAUUGCCAUGCUUACACAUUGAACAACAAAGCUAACAUAACUACAUAUUAUGGACAAAUUUAUAUACUGAUGAAUCAAGUAAGUUCUUAAUCAAUUGGUAGGUACAUCAAAAUUAAUGCAUUCUAUUUGGGCAUAUGACAUUCAAAACGCCAAUCUGUGUAGCAUUCAAAAGCAAAUCUAAGCAUACAUGUGUGUAGCAUUCAAAACCCCAAUCUGUGUAGCAUUCAAAAACAAAUCUAAUAAUCAUGUGUAGCAUUUAGGCAUAGAGAUCUCUAUCUCUCAUUAAGAUCUGUCUAGCAUUUUUGCAACGAAUGUAAUCCGAAAAACUCCCAUACAAAAAAUUCCCAUCCCCCCAUACAGAAAACCCCAUCCCUCAAACCAACUACUCUAACCGUCUAUACUACCCUACCAAUCACAAUCCAACCAAUGAAACUAACUCUACAACCCAUCUAAAUAUUGCAACUAGGGUACAAGCAAAUGGAAGUACCUCAUGUACCACCUUCUCCUCGUAGGCAGCGCAUCUAGAUGGACUGCGCCGCUCGAUGCCGUCACCUUCAUCUCUGAAAGCGCCGAGGCGGAGCCCGCCACCUCCUUCGACACAUCCACAGCCGCGACAAUGGUUGCGAGUUACCCUGCACCACCGUGGACGCCGCCAACGUCCUGCACUGCAUCUGUCGCGGUCAUCGCGCCCUGUAAAUCUCCGAUCGUUGCGCUAGCGUCGCCACGAGUGUCCGCCAUCGGUAUGAGGGAGGCGAUGAAGGCGAGGAAGAGGAUGCGGUGGGGUUGAGCGAGAUAGUGCGGUGGAGGAGAGCGAGACGACGCGGUACGGGAGAGGUAGACAAUGCGGCAGGGAGGGGAUUUGGAGGGAAAUGGUAGGGACGAGGUGGUUCCUCCUCUUAUACGAUGGGACGUUUCUGGCAUGUUGAAAGCACAAGUGCUCCCUAGGUGGUUUUGGUAAUUAAUGUCAACAUAUCUCUUGUUGGACUAACACUUUUACCUAGUACAUUUCAGACAAGUUCAACAAUGGAGUGGCAUGGACUAAAGGAUGUGGGAACUCCUUUAAGAUGCUAAGGACAAAGGAUUGGCUCAAGCUUCAAGCUCAAGACUCUUCAUUUUACAUUUUAGUGAUCCAAGAUCACAUUGAGUCUAUAGGAAAAGACAAUACUAUCAAGGAGGGAUGAGGUGUUGCUUAAUGAGCCUCUUGCUUCAAAGUGCUUAGUGAUAUGCUCCAAAAACCCUCAACUACUUUCCCAUUUCCACACAAAUGACCUAAAACCUAAAGUCGAACUCGGCCCCACUGAUUCUUCCUAUCCGGCGCCACCGAGUUUUGAUGUCUUAGCCACUGCCACAAAUCCUAGGCAAAUCGGUCUCACCGAUAGGGAUCUCGGUCUCACCGAGAUGGGAUUGUAAUCUCUCUGUGUAUGUCCAUUAUCAAAAUCGGUCUCACCGAGUUUGAGGAAUCGGUACUACCGAGAUUACAAUGCAAACUUUCUGGUUGACUUAUUAUCAAAAUCGGUCCCAUCGAGUUUGAUAAUCGGUCCAACCGAGUCUGCCUGACCAACUCUCUGGAAAGCUAAUUACCAAAAUCGGUCUCACCGAGUUUGUGUAAUUGGUCUUACCGAGAUUACGUUAUGCCCUAACCCUAACCGAAUCGGUCUCACCGAGUUGCAUUUCGGUCCCACCGAAAACCCUAAUGGUCACAUUAUUUGCUAAAUCGGUCUGACCGGGUUUAACAAUUCGGUCCCACCGAGUUUGGUAGAUUGUGUGUAACGGUUAGAUUUUGUGUGGAGGCUAUAUAUACCCCUCCACCUCCUCUUCAUUCGUGGAGAGAGCCAUCAGACUGAACCUACACUUCCAGCAUCCUAUUUCUGAGAGAGAAAUACCUACUCAUGUGUUGAGGCCAAGAUAUUCCAUUCCUACCAUAUGAAUCUUGAUCUCUAGCCUUCCCCAAGUUGCUUUCCACUCAAAUCUUCUCUCCACCAGAUCCAAAACCUAUGAGAGAGAGUUGAGUGUUGGGGAGACUAUCAUUUGAAGCACAAGAGCAAGGAGUUCAUCAUCAAUGCACCAUUUGUUACUUCUUGGAGAGUGGUGUCUCCUAGAUUGGCUAGGUGUCACUUGGGAGCCUCCGACAAGAUUGUGGAGUUGAACCAAGGAGUUUGUAAGGGCAAGGAGAUCGCCUACUUCGUGAAGAUCUACCGCUAGUGAGGCAAGUCCUUCGUGGGCGACGGCCAUGGUGGGAUAGACAAGGUUGCUUCUUCAUGGACCCUUCGUGGGUGGAGCCCUCCGUGGACUCGCGCAGCCGUUACCCUUCGUGGGUUGAAGUCUCCAUAAACGUGGAUGUACGAUAGCACCACCUAUUAGAACCACGCCAAAAACAUCUGUGUCUCCAAUUGUGUUUGAAUCCUCCAAUCCCUUCCCUUUACAUUCUUGCAAGUUGCAUGCUUUAUUUUCCGAUGCUCAUAUACUCUUGCAUGCUUGCUUGCUAUAUGUUGUGAAUGUUAAAGUUGUGCCUAAAGUCCACUUAAACUUUAAAGAAUCUUAAAAAUUGCAACUUUGGCUCAUAAUGUCUAAUCACCCCCCCCCCCUCUAGACACCUCUUCUCAAGGUCCUACAAGUGGUAUCAGAGCAUUGGUCUCCAUUGCUUUGGUUUAAUCACCAUUGGAGGAAGAUGGAUGAGUCUACUAUUGGGAGUCUUGGACAUAGAGUGCCUAUUCUUGAUGGAGAGUAUUUUCAUGAGUGCAAAAAUGAGAUGCUUGUUAUUUUCAAUCAAUAUCAUUUUAACAAGUACAUUGCUAGCCCUUGUGCACCUUAUGUUGACCCUAUGCAUCCAACCCAUGAUCAGUCAAUUGACAUGGUUAGGAAUCUUAGAACUGCCGAACUCAUCAUUAGAGGAUUGCCUAGAAACUUGACUGGAUGUUUGCCUACUUUCAAGUGUGCCUACACCAUAUGGAAAUUUCUUGAGGAACGAUUUCCAGGUUAUUCAUUGAAAAAUCUUGAUGAAAUUCUCCAUAAGUCUAUUGCUUUGAGUAAAAUGAAUACUAGUGAUCCUAUGUUUGGUAAUCGUCUAUUUGAGCUUACAAACCUUAUGCGUGCCAAAGGAAAUGUUGGUAUUAUCAGUGACAUUAUUUUCGAAGCUAUAAGAAUUCAUAGACAAGAUUAUUGUCAAACUCACUCUAACGAAUCACCCUCUCUAGGAUUUGAUCCACCACAUGACGAUGUUGAACAUGGAUACUAUGAUGAGGAUGAUGAUAGUGACUUCGAUCUUGAUGAUGCAAUGAGACAUUUUGGUCUUAUGGCAAAUCUUCGGGGAUAUAUGUCAGGAGGAAAGGAAUGGGUUCUUGAUAGUGGAUGUACUGAUCACAUGACCGGAUAUAAAGACAUGUUUCGUGAGCUUGCCGACAACGAUAGUCCUCGAAAGUAUGUCACUUUUGGUGACAACUCAAAGGGUAAGGUGGUUGGCCUUGGUAAGGUGGCCAUAUCACAUGAUAGCUCCAUACAAAAUGUCAUGCUCGUUGAAUCUCUUGGGUACAACUUACUUUCAGUAUCUAGACUUGCUGAUUUCGGUUUCAAUGUCCUAUUUACUGAAGUAGAUUGCCAAGUGUUUCAUCGAGACAAUCAUAAAAUGGUCUUUACCGGUGUGCGUAGAGGUGAUCUAUACAUUGUUGAUUUCACUAAAAAGGCUCAACCUAAAACAUGCUUCAUUGCUAAAUCCUCAAAAGGUUGGUUGUGGCAUAGACGAUUAGGUCAUGUUGGUAUGCAAAACCUUGACAAGCUUAUUAAAGGGAAUCAUAUCCUUGGAGUUAAUGAUGUCAUAUUUGAUAAGGAUAGACUUUGCAGUGCUUGUCAAGCAGGUAAACAGGUUGGAGGAAGGCAUCCUGUGAAGAACAUCAUGACCACAAGGAGGCAACUCGAGCUACUUCACAUGGAUCUCUUUGGUCCCAACUCUUACAAGAGUCUCGGUGGAAAUUCUUUUGGUCUAGUUAUAGUUGAUGAUUUUUCUAGAUUUACGUGGGUGUUCUUUCUCGAUGAUAAAUCGCAGGUUCAAAGAUCUUCAAAAACUUCGCUAGGAAGGCCCAAAACCAAUUUGAAGUGAAGAUCAAGAAGGUUCAGAGCGACAACGGAACGGAGUUCAAGAACGCAAAUGUGGACACCUUUCUUGACGAAGAAGGGAUUUCACACGAGUUCUCGGCUACGUACACACCUCAACAAAAUGGAGUUGUUGAGAGGAAGAACCGGACGCUCAUCAAAAUGGCGAGAAUGAUGCUUGAUGAGUACAAGACGCCGAAGCACUUUUGGGCAGAAGCGGUUGAGACAGCUUGUCAUGCAACAAAUCGCUUGUAUCUUCACAAGCUACUCGGCAAGACGGCAUAUGAGCUACUCACUGGUAACAAACUCCAAGUUGGAUACUUUCGAGUAUUCGGCUCAAAGUGUUACAUUCUUGAUAAGCAUCGUCGUUCUAAAUUUGCUCCUAAGUCUCAUGAAGGUUUCCUACUAGGUUAUGGCUCAAACUCUCACACUUACCGUGUCUACAACAAUUUCACCCGAAAGGUUGAAGAAACGGUAGAUGUGAAGUUUGAUGAAUCUAACGGCUCGCAAAUAGAGCAAUUGCCAAUUGAUGUAGGAGACAAAGAUCCUUCAGAAGCAAUCCAAGACUUGUCUAUUGGCAAGGUCCGUCCAACGGAGGUGAAGGAGAGUACCUCAUCCGUCCAAGUGGAAGCUUCUACUUCACGACAAGGUGAACCAAGAGUUGAUACGGAAGCAUCCACAAGUGGGACACACCAAGAUGAAGAAAACAAGGAAGUGCAUCAAGAUGAACGCCAACAACCUCCUUCUCCACCACGACAAGAGAACGACAACGCCAACAAUGAAGAAGGCCAAGAAGAAGAAGAACAAGAUGAAGAAGAUGUUCAACGAAGACCCAAGCAAAAGCUAUCACGAGUUCGAGCAAGAAUUGCUAAAGAUCAUCCCGUCGAGCAAAUCUACAAUGACAUUCAAACCGGGAGAAUCACUCGCUCUAAAACUCGUUUAGCUAACUUUUGUGAAAACUAUUCUUUCAUCUCUAGCAUUGAACCUAUGAAGGUUGAAGAAGCAUUGGAAGAUCCGGAUUGGAUAAAUGCUAUGCAUGAAGAGCUACACAACUUUGAGAGGAACCAAGUCUGGACAUUGGUUGAGAAGCCCGACAACAACCACAACGUCAUCGGUACCAAAUGGGUGUUUCGCAACAAGCAAGAUAAAGAUGGACAAGUAGUUCGCAACAAAGCACGUCUCGUCGCCCAAGGCUACACACAAGUUGAAGGUGUGGACUAUGGUGAGACUUACGCCCCCGUUGCUAGACUUGAGUCCAUUCGCAUCUUACUUGCCUAUGCUAAUCAUCAUGAUAUCACCUUGUACCAAAUGGACAUUAAAAGUGCUUUUCUAAAUGGUGAAAUAGAGGAGGAAGUUUAUGUUAAGCAACCUCCCGUCUUUGUCAAUCCUAAGAAACCCAAUCAUGUUUACAAACUUCACAAAGCUCUUUAUGGUCUUAAACAAGCUCCUAGAGCAUGGUAUAAAUGCUUGACCAAGUUCCUUAUUGGAAAAGGCUUUGAAAUUGGGAAAAUUGAUUCUACUCUUUUUACUAAAAGGGUUAAUGGUGAACUAUUUGUGUGCCAAAUUUAUGUUGAUGAUAUUAUAUUUGGUUCAACUAACCCUUAUUUUAGUGAAAAGUUUGGAAAGCUAAUGUCGGAGAAGUUUGAGAUGUCUAUGAUGAGUGAACUCAAAUUCUUUCUUGGUUUGCAAAUCAAGCAAACUAAGGAAGGUACUUUUGUCUCUCAAACAAAGUACACCAAGAACUUAUUCAAAAAGUUCAAUAUGAAAGAAUGCAAAGGUAUGACUACUCCAAUGCCUACUAGUGGACAUCUUGACUUGACCAAAGAUGAUGAACCGGUUGAUCAAAAGGUUUAUCGUUCUAUGAUUGUUCAUUGUUAUAUGUAUGUGCUUCUCGUCCCGAUAUUAUGCUAAGUGUGUGCAUGUGUGCACGAUAUCAAGCUGCUCCUAAAGAAUGUCAUCUUAAGGCCGUGAAAAGGAUAGUGAGAUACUUAAUCCAUACACCAAAUUUUGGCAUUUGGUAUUCUAAGAGGGCCUGUUUCGAUCUUGUUGGCUAUUCUGACUCGGACUAUGCCGGAGACAAGGUUGAUAGAAAGUCCACUUCGGGUACUUGUCAAUUUCUUGGUAGAUCUCUUGUGUCUUGGUCCUCCAAGAAACAAAACUCGGUAUCCUUAUCCACCGCCGAAGCUGAAUAUAUUGUCGCCGGUUCAUGUUGUGCUCAAUUACUUUGGAUGACCCAAACUCUUAAAGAUUAUGGGAUAUAUGUGAGACAUGUUCCAUUGCUUUGUGACAAUGAAAGUGCUAUCAAAAUUGGUCAUAAUCCUGUGCAACAUUCUCGAACUAAGCAUAUUGAAGUUCGUCAUCAUUUCAUUCGAGAUCAUGUUGCUAAGGGUGACAUUGAUCUUAAGCAUGUUCGCACCGAAAAGCAAUUAGCAGAUAUAUUCACUAAACCUCUUGAUGAGAAAGUGUUUUGCAGGUUAAGAGGAGAAUUGAACAUCAUUGAUGCUUCAAACUUGGAGUAGAAACUCCAUUGGAUACAUGCAAGACAUGAGCUUAUGACUAAUCCUUGAUAUUUCUCUUAUGAUAAAAAACUUAUGUCUUGGAUAUAUUGUAUCUUGCAUGUUAUCUAACCCAUGUAGGUACUUGGUUGAAUCAAAUUCCAUGAGGUUGAAACCUACUCAUAUCUUGAGCAAUCUCUACAUCACCAAGUCUCUACACAAGGUGGUUGAAGCCAAGGAAGCACAAAAUCAUUCAAACAUAUCCUUUGACAAAUUCUAUGUUGAGCUUCAUGAUUGUCAUUUUUGGAUACACAAGUGCUCUUUCUUGCAAGAUCUAACCCAUGUAGGUAGAUGGACUCAAAUUCCAAGUGGUGCUCCGAACUCUUGAUGAGCUACAUCAACCUUGAGCAACCCACACAAGUUCAACUACAUGGACAACACCACCAACCAAGGUAUGCUAUUCCAUCUUAGAGAAGCUUUACUCCAAGUCAUGGGUUAAAGCAACUCGACAGAUGUGAAUACAUCAAGAUGCUUAAACGAAAAAUGGCAACCCCAUUUUGAGCUUAAACGAUGAGUAUGACCCAUGAUCAAGUGAUCUCACUUGACUCCUAAGUCAAUUUACUCUAACAUAGGUGACUUUGUCACCGACCAUCUCUAGAUGAAGUUCUCUUGUGUUCUUUUCUGUCUUUUGCAUUUGUCUCUUGCAUAUGUGUUUCCCCUGUUUCAAAAAAAACUUCAUCUAUAUUUCUUUCUGUUUGCUCUGCAUUUUCUGCAUCAAAUUCCGUGCAUAUCAUUCAGUUAAUUCCUUGCAAAUCUUUGUGAGAUCUUACUAGUCUAAGUGAGCUUAGGUGACAAGUGUUUUCUCUGAUAUGAACUCGGUUUCACCGAUUUGUUAUUUUCGUCCCAACCGAAUCUUUUCGGUACGACCGAAGCAUACCACUCGGUGCCACCGAUUUCAUAACAGGAAAAACUAUUUGCCACAUAUUCUGUGUUUCUUCUGAUCCAGCUCCACUCAAUGAAUCUUGUCCUCUACAAGCAUCACAUUUUUAUCAUUGCUUUGUUCUGUGUCUCAAGGACCAAACCCAUUCAACAGAUUCCAGAAGACCCUUAUUGGAAAUUGAUGUCAAAGGGGGAGAGAGAGAACAUCAAAGCUUAUCAUUUGGAGAUAGAGAGAGAGCAUCAAAACUUAUCACCUUCCUUCUUCAGGGGGAGAGAGACCUUCUAGGGGGAGAGACCCUCAAAAGAAGAGAGAGAUCUCCAGGGGGAGAGGAUACUUAAGUAGAAAGUAUUUCUCAAGGAUCCCAGAUGCUUGGUGUUCAAGAGGAGAGAUGUCCACAUGUCUUCUUGAGGGGAGAGACAUGUUCAUAUGAUCUAUUGUGCUCAUUUUUGCAUUAGCAUACAUUAGCUCUGAACUUUAGCUCUGAUCAUCAUUCAUAUCUUUCAGCUCUGUUUUCCUUCAGCUCUGAUUUUCUGUUCCCUAUCUUCUCCUAGUAUCACAUGUUAGAUUCAGGGGGAGCAAGACAUCUAAGGGAAAGAGAUCAUUUAAAUUCAUUGCAUAUCUUUACUCUUGGGGACAUGUCUAAUCCAAUGUGGUACUCAGUACUCACUCUCUGCAUGUCAUCCCAGUCUUGGUAUUCUUGUGGUUUCUUCUGUUUGCUCUGGCUAGUAGAUGCAUCUGUGUUAUCUAACCUUGUUUUCACAGGUUCAUUCCAUCCUAAGCCAACUCAAGACCACAAGGUAAGUAUAUGCAUCACAAUCAUGUGUAUGAGGAAUUCUUGCUGAUGUACAUACUGUUUGCAAGAAGGACUCAUGGGCAUGAAGGUAUUCUCUUUAAUACUUUUUGCUCUGAUGCAUAUAGCCAAGAUACAUGUAACACAUUGCCUGCUCUAUCAUGGUUAUGCUAUCACAUGCUUCUAUAUUUCAUAUUCACAUGAUUGCAUACAUGUAGGGGGAGCCUAUGCUUGUUACAUGUCUUUCCAAAGCUUUACUUGCUAUUCUUUAUAUCUUUAUCUAAAGCUUUGAUGUAUGUUGCCAUCAAUUACCAAAAAGGGGGAGAUUGAAAGCACAAGUGCUCCCUAGGUGGUUUUGGUAAUUAAUGUCAACAUAUCUCUUGUUGGACUAACACUUUUACCUAGUACAUUUCAGACAAGUUCAACAAUGGAGUGGCAUGGACUAAAGGAUGUGGGAACUCCUUCAAGAUGCUAAGGACAAAGGAUUGGCUCAAGCUUCAAGCUCAAGACUCUUCAUUUUACAUUUUAGUGAUCCAAGAUCACAUUGAGUCUAUAGGAAAAGCCAAUAUUAUCAAGGAGGGAUGAGGUGUUGCUUAAUGAGCCUCUUGCUUCAAAGUGCUUAGUGAUAUGCUCCAAAAACCCUCAACUACUUUCCCAUUUCCACACAAAUGACCUAAAACCUAAAGUCGAACUCGGCCCCACUGAUUCUUCCUAUCCAGCGCCAUCGAGUUUUGAUGUCUUAGCCACUGCCACAAACCCUAGGCAAAUCGGUCUCACCGGUAGGGAUCUCGGUCUCACCGAGAUGGGAUUGUAAUCUCUCUGUGUAUGUCCAUUAUCAAAAUCGGUCUCACCGAGUUUGAGGAAUCGGUACUACCGAGAUUACAAUGCAAACUUUCUGGUUGACUUAUUAUCAAAAUUGGUCCCACCGAGUUUGAUAAUCGGUCCAACCGAGUUUGCCUGACCAACUCUCUGGAAAGCUAAUUACCAAAAUCGGUCUCACCGAGUUUGUGUAAUCGGUCUUACCAAGAUUACGUUAUGCCCUAACCCUAACCGAAUCGGUCUCACCGAGUUGCAUUUCGGUCCCACCGAAAACCCUAACGGUCACAUUAUUUGCUAAAUCGGUCUGACCGAGUCUAACAAUUUGGUCCCACCGAGUUUGGUAGAUUGUGUGUAACGGUUAGAUUUUGUGUGGAGGCUAUAUAUACCCCUCCACCUCCUAUUCAUUCAUGGAGAGAGCCAUCAGACUGAACCUACACUUCCAGCAUCCUAUUUCUGAGAGAGAACUACCUACUCAUGUGUUGAGGCCAAGAUAUUCCAUUCCUACCAUAUGAAUCUUGAUCUCUAGUCUUCCCCAAGUUGCUUUCCACUCAAAUAUUCUCUCCACUAGAUCCAAAACCUAUGAGAGAGAGUUGAGUGUUGGGGAGACUAUCAUUUGAAGCACAAGAGCAAGGAGUUCAUCAUCAAUGCACCAUUUGUUACUUCUUGGAGAGUGGUGUCUCCUAGAUUGGCUAGGUGUCACUUGGGAGCCUCCGACAAGAUUGUGGAGUUGAACCAAGGAGUUUGUAAGGGCAAGGAGAUCGCCUACUUCGUGAAGAUCUACCGCUAGUGAGGCAAGUCCUUCGUGGGCGACGGCCAUGAUGGGAUAGACAAAGUUGCUUCUUCGUGGACCCUUCGUGGGUGGAGCCCUCCGUGGACUCGCGCAGUCGUUACCCUUCGUGGGUUGAAGUCUCCAUCAACGUGGAUGUACGAUAGCACCACCUAUCGGAACCACACCAAAAACAUCUGUGUCUCCAAUUGCGUUUGAAUCCUCCAAUCCCUUCCCUUUACAUUCUUGCAAGUUGCAUGCUUUAUUUUCCGCUGCUCAUAUACUCUUGCAUGCUUGCUUGCUAUAUGUUGUGAAUGUUAAACUUGUGCCUAAACUCCACUUAAACUUUAAAGAAUCUUGAAAAUUAUAACUUUGGCUCUAAGUGUCUAAUCACCCCCCCCCCCUCUAGACACCUCUUCUCAAGGUCCUACACAUGUUCCAUGGACACGUGCUACCCCAUGACCGUGGUCAGUUACAUGCACGCCUACGUGGCCCCACUAGUCAGAGUUAACGGUCAAGCCAUUGACCUGACAACAACGUUCAGUUUGCCCAUUUGUGAGAGUUUCAACCAAGGGAGUGGGGGAAUUGAGCAAAAGUUAAGAGCGUGGGGAUGAAUGAGUACAGCUAAGGAACCAGGGGCACAGAUGUAAAAAUCUCUUUGUUUUAUAGUGAAACUGAUUCCAGCGCAACGCUUAUCUCUACUACUCCCUCCGUUCUCCAAAAAUGCUAGGCUUACGGGAAUCCCACUACGGAGGCAAGUUACACGAUUGCAUGGCCUAAUCUCAUUGAUUUUCUCACCAUAAAACUAGUCGUGGGACCCAAAUCGUGAUGAAUCCUAGGUCUCCAACUCAUCUCGAUAGAAAUUGCCCGUAGGUGUAGCAAACUUCGUUCCAAAAUAUAGUGUUUUUUUAUUCCCGUGCUUCAACUUUGAUCAUAAAUUUACGGCAUCGAGCCACUCUGGACCUUUUGGUACUGCGAGCAGCGCAUUCCAUCUCCACCUCCAUUGCUGCCGUGGCGCCGCCUACGACCAUUUUUCGGUGAGGUGGAUCUGGAAGAGGCACGACAAGAAGCCAAUGAAGGCAUACUUUAAUAUUAGGAAAAAUCACGUUCAUGCGUUUAUUGCGCAAACCGUACAUUUCAUUAGCUGCACGGGCUUGAAGUCUCUGCAGCCACGGUUAUGUGCGUUUGUGACUUUCUGUAUUUCAGUGAUAAGGGUCGUAGACACUACCGUCAAAUCCACAAAGGCAUCGUGUGGUAUUAUAUAGAGUCAUGUUCGCCUGUGUCUGUUUUCCGGAUGAUUCCGUUGGCUCAUUUAGACGGAGAGGCACGGACGAGAAGCCCAUGGAGGCAUACUUUAGUAUUACGCAGAGUCACGUUCGAGCGUUUACUGCACAAACCGAACACGAGAUAGACACUUAGGUUAGGUCUUCAUUGCGCACGUACAAAAAACACAACAGCUUAAUGGAGGAGGAGGAGAAGAUCUUAGAAAAAAAACGAGGAUGAGGCACAGUGCAAGGACAUAAUUGCAGAUGUCACCACUGGUGCGCGUUUUUUAAAAGCACGGGCUAGCACUCUCUGCAGCCACGGUUAUGUACGUUUGCGACUCUAUGUGUUUCAGUCAUUAGGUUCACAGGCACAGGCAUCAAAUCCACAAAGGCAUCGUGUGGUAUUAUAUAGAGUCAUGUUCGGUUGUGUUUGUGUUCCGAAUGAUUCAGUCGACUCGUUCAGACGGAGAGGCACGGACGAGAAGCCCAUGGAGGCAUACUUUAGUAUUAGGCACACCGUCAUGCGUUUAUUGCGAGGCAAUGAGCGGCAGACUCGAGAGACGCCGUUUUUGAAGCGUUCAAAAGGCAUGGUCGAUGUUUAGCCCACGGAGCUGAACCUUUGUCUCAGGUAAAAUAUUAUUUCCUUGUAUUUAAAAGCACGGACGUGAACUACCUACGGACACGGUUCCGUAUUGACUUGCGUCACGCUUCUUUCUUGGUGUUAAGUAUAUUAUUCGAUAUAAAAGGCGUGGACGUUCGUGGCUGUCUGUGUUUCAUUGUUUCAUAGUGAAGCACGGGCACGGUAAUUUGCGAAGCUAGCGAUGGCACGCUUUUAAACAAAGCACACGCAUAGUGGUUCCACGACAAGCACGUCUCGAUUUGCAGAAACAACACUAUCAGUGGUUCUACCGGACGCACAGUAUGUUUUCACCCAAACGUUCACCACAAAGUCCGACGAGACGCCGAUGGUGCAAGACCUGGCUUCGGCCGGCGUCGAGGAGCCGUCGAGCCGGUACUUAGUGCACGAGCAAGACCGUCAUGGCGACCUGCUGGCUGCUGACAAAAUGCCGGAGCACAUCCCUCUCAUUGACCUUAGCCGGCUCAUGGACGCCGACGAGGCUGACAAGCUCCGGGCGGCUCUACAGACCUGGGGCUUCUUCCUGGUGAGCGAGCAUCUAUGCAUGUGUGCACCUUAAUUACUCUUCCCUCCGUUCACAAGUAUAAGAUGUUCUAACCUUUUUGUGAAUUGGAUACAUAUAGGCAUGUUUAUGUUUUAGUGUGGUUGUUCAUCCAUUUCAGGCCGAGUGUAGUCCAUAUUAAAAUAUCCAAAACAUCUUAUAUUUGUAACGAAGGGAGUACUAGCUUGUAAAGUUAUUGGACUCUUACUGAAACUGUUUAACUUGUCCAGGCCACCAAUCAUGGGAUCGAGGAUUCUCUCAUGGAUGCAAUGAUGACCGCGUCAAGGGAGUUUUUCCGUCAACCGUCCGAAGAGAAGCAGAAAUGCAGCAACCUGGUGGACGGCAACGACAAGCAUUACCAGGUGGAAGGGUAUGGCAGUGACAGAGUGGUUUCCGAGGAUCAGGGCCUGAAUUGGAACGACCGGUUGCAUCUGAAGAGUGGAGCCGGAAGAUGAGAGGAAUUUUGCUAAGUGGCCCAGUCACCCGGAAUCUUUCAGGUUCCCUACUCCCUUACCUUGAGUGAUGUUUUUCACAUUUCUAAUACUGUAUUAGCUUAGUUGUAAAGGAAGGCAGAGUGAGAAUUCCAGAAAAGUAUCAAUGUAAACUGCACUCUGGGUAGUCAAUUGUCUCGUAGCAUUGCGCGUCUCUCUUGCUAGUGGGCCAGUAUUACCAUAUCAUUUCCUAUAAUUAAGUAAGGCUGAAAGUUAACUAAUUUUGAUACAAUUUUCCUUUGUGAAUGCAGACUUUUGAGAACUUCUCUUAAUGACGUAGUUUUCUCGAUGUUGUUUUGUGAAUUUAUUGAUUAAUUACUUUCUUUAUAAGAGAUUCAGUCUGGAGGUGAUUACCCUCUUUUAAAAAAAAAGAUAUUCAGAGACAAUUCAUAGAUAGAAACUUAAUAAAGAGACCAAAAUCUUUGAUUUGACUAAACUAUUAUAGAAUCUUUCUGCAGGAAUAUGCUAAAUGAGUAUGCAUCGAAAACCAAGAAACUAAGAGACAUUGUCUUGCGAUCAAUAGCCAAGCUCUUGGAGAUUGAUGAGGAUUACUUCGUCAACCAGAUAUCAAACAAGGCUUCCGGGUUUGCCAGACUCUACUACUAUCCUCCACGUCCGAGGCCUGACCUAGUUUUGGGCCUCAGGCCUCACUCUGAUGGAAAUCUCCUUACUAUCCUUUUUGUCGACGACGAUGUUGGUGGCUUGCAAGUUCAGAGAGAUGGGAAAUGGUACAAUGUUCCAGCCAAGCCUCACACACUGGUGAUCAACUUGGGAGACUGCCUGGAGGUAGGCACCUACACAUACAAGCUAGAUACGCACUUCCUC
rnacentral:lncRNA from 1 species